AAUUAACCAGAAUUUGAGUUUAAAUCCUUUGAGAAAAGAAAAAGAGCUGCCAGUGCCAGAAAACACCAUAAUGAUUAAAGUUUAAUGUAUGUGUCCCAGCAAAGAUUACAUGUUUGCUUGAAACAGUAUAUAAUCAUAGCAUCAAAUAUGCUAAUGUUCAUAAUGGGAUGCAAUAUAUGAGUUUAUCCUAUUUUUCCUUUUUCCUUCUUCUUUAUUUCUUUUCAUUUUUUUUCUUUUUGCUUUUGUGUGUGCGUGUUUUUUCUUCGUUUUUUUUUGGGGGGGGGGGGGUUAAGUUUAACUUAGUGGAAGUCCAAGGUUGGGGAUGCUAAGCUGUUAAAUUAGAAAAAAUGGUCCAAUCAUGAUUACCAUAAGUAUCAAGCUUUUGUCCCAACUAUUCAUUUUGUGAGCCCUCCUCACCCUUUAAUUCCAAUUGAGGGCAGUAUUCUGAUGUCAUUGCAAGUUUUUCUGAUCCUUUCUCACAAAUUGCACAACAUCAGCUUGGGUCUUACUACCCUUUCUCUGGAACCUUAGGCACAAAUCCAAGAACCUCUUAUUUGGGCCUCCUCAGAUUCUCUCAGCAUGUUCAAUUGCUUUCUUCAUCAAUUCUCCACCACUUGCUCCUACACCUUAUUUAAUUACAUAUUCCUCAGCAACCCAUCCUUUCAAGUUUUACAACAUAUCAACUUUUCUCAUGUUACAUGAAUUUUUCAUGCUUGGACUCUAAUCAUAUAGCACAACUGGAGGGUCACCAGUGGUUUAUUGUGAAGCUGAAAUAAGUUCUAGAAAACCCUAAACCAUAAUUUCAGGUGAAUAUUUUAUAGGUUCAAAAAUUAGGUUUUCAAAAUUUAUAUACAUGUAUGUAUGUAUAUAUGACCGUACAAGAUGAUUUCAGAAUUUCAUUUAACAGGCAUAUAACUUUUUUUGAAUGAUGUGCUUUUAACUGAAAUACUUCUAUAACAAGCAACAGGAUGAGUUCUAUUUUCUGUGAGUUUGACUUAUCUUCUUAUUUUCUUUUCCCUAUGUUAUUAUAUCCCAUUUUUCACUUGAAUGGCCUUCUAGAAGGAACUUGGAGACACUGAGAGUUUAGACACCAGCAAAUUUAUAGAUAUUAUGAAAUAUGCUGUUUGCUCAUACAGAUUUAACAAAGACGACAUCACCAUGCAGAUAGAACAUCUAUAUUGAAAUACUGAAAGCAUCGAUAUUAAAAUGGGUUGAGAACACACAAUGUACAUUUCCAUUUUACAUGUAAGGAAAAAUAUAUAGAAGAAAGAGCCAAUAAAAGAGAACCAUUUAUUGCAGUUAAGUUAUACGCUAACCAAUAAAGGGAGGCAGACACACCAGAAAGUUUAGUUGAGGCAUGCACCUUUAUUAGAUUGAGUACAAUAAUUGGAUUUCCAUAUCUCUUAGCCAGGUCUUCAAAAUGCAACUUGGUUGCUUGGUAUGUUGGAUCAUAUCUCUGCACUGAAGCCAAGUAAAAAUAGGGGCAUCAAACAGCUUUUUUUGCUAAAGCAAAUAUCUGAAAAUCUAAGCAGUGGAAUGGUGCAAUGCACCAAAAGAUGAAUAAACAAAUACAGAGUUAAAAUCAAUCGACAUAAUCAAGCUUACAUUUCAAUCAGCGGAUUUCUUUAUACAUUCUUCCUAUUUUAUACAUUAUCUUUCUCUUUUGUUCCAUAUCUCCAUUCCUUAUUCAGAUGUGAUCUUGUUUUUUUAGUCUUCUCUGUGUCAAUACUAAUACUACCAUAUAAAGGAGCUUAUCGAAAAAUUAAAGAAAAACUUACAGAUAAUAUCAGGUUUGGGACUAAAUCUUGAAGCUUCCUGCGACCAGAAAAGGGGGAUUGAACCUCGCAUCUGUACAACUGAACUCAUUUUUCCCCAGCAUGAUCCAGCUUCUUCGUCAAGGACUAUUUGUUCAGUUUCUACAUCAUUUGCAACUCUGCCCCGAUCAUUAACUCCUCUUUUCAAAUACCUGCACACCAAAAAAAGAAAAAAAAGGUAAAAAUGGAGAACAACAAAAAGCAACUGCUAUAUGGCCACUUUCAUGAGGUCCAUGAUCAUCACAUAGAAAAAAAUAUCAAUGAAUUGUUAAAUACUUUAUUUUGUUAGUGAAUGUGAAUUGAAGUGGCUAGUAGGGUUUUAAUUUUCAAAGUUGAUAAGAGAAGAACACUUUUCUAAAGCAGUUAUCAUAUUUGAAGUAAUAAUUGCUCAAGAAUGAUAUGGUUCAGAUACCGAUUUUUUCUUAAGAAAAAAGUAAUUUGUCAUCCUACCAAGGUCUGCUUUCAAAACUCAUGAAAAAGAUAAAGAACUUCAUAAUAGAUACUCAUGUCAAAGCAGGGACUCAACAUACUUAAUGAAAUUGAAAGGAGUAUAACCCAAGGCCGGGAUGGAAUGACCCUAUUGUGUCCCAACACUUGGAACAGCCUCGCCUCCUGGGACACCAAUUUUAUUAAUUUAUUUUUCAUUCUUGUUUUUAUUGAUUUUGCCUGCAUGUCAUGGUACUUUCCCAUACUGUAGCAACCUGGCCCCAGUACCAACAUUCAAAUCCUUGAUAACCAGAGGCAUUAGCAAAAGUCAAAUUUUCAAGUCAACUGAGAUUACAUUUAUUGAUAAUUCUAACCCCACAAAGAAAGGAGCAUAUGACGUCAAAAUCAAAAGUACUUCUAGGUUUUCUAAAGUUCUGGGUUAUUGAAUAAUGAUCAUCAGAUAGAUACCUAUCAUGUGAUUGUUACCACCUAGAUUAAGUUGGAUGAGAAGUACCGUGUCCCUGCAAAAUGACGAGACCGUCUAGAUACGAGGGAAACAUUAAAUUCUCGCCCAAAAAUUGAUAACUUGACCUGUAAUCAACAAAAACCAUAUCUAACAUAAGUAUUUCUGAUAAGACAAUACAAUAAAAUACAAUUACUUUUGCAUAUGAAAUGACAUUCAGGGGAUGUUUGGUUGUUCUCUUUUACUAAAUGGAUACACACAAAAUUAGUUGCUGUUUGGUUGUUCACCUUUACUAGAUUUAAAAAAAAUGAAACUAAAUGAUUUACAAAAUCAACUGUGUCAUUGCUCUUCGUGAAACCUGUUUCAUAUAAAACUGAUAGCCCAUUAAAAAUGAAGCAUGAGUCUUAAGAGAACAUGCCUCUCCCUGUUUUCACAUAAUUAUGUUUUACAUGUAGCCACGUCUCAUGAUUAUUUGCUUUGACAUAACUCACAUAUAACCAAACAGCUGCUUAGGGCUUGACUAAUUUCAAGAUAUCAACAACCUAUACAUAAUGACAUCAAUAAAUUCACAGUGAUAUGUAUUUUUCAAGCACUACAACCAUGGCAAGGCUCAAUAACAUGCUAGCAGUCUGCUACAUCUUUACUUUCUCAAAGAAUAAUCAAUUUAAAAGAAGAGGUAUAAAUAAGUGUAUUCAUGCUUGGCAUUAGUGAAAUACAGAUACCAUUAUGCUAUCAAAUAACAUAGUUACAUGUGGGUUUAGUAGAAAACUAGCAUUCAUGGUCAAAGUUAUAUUGGAAACUUAGAUUUUAUUCUCAAAUUAUUUCUAAAUCAGUGACAAUUUUCUGCAACUUUUAUAAAGAAAUAAAAUGCAUACAAAUUUCAUGUUAGCCACAUCAUGUAUAACCAAUCAUUCUGUUUACAUACUCUGCUCAGUCUUCUCCUGCAAUGCAUCAUAUGCCUUAGAGAAUUAAGAUUUUUCAACAAAUGGUCCUCAAUUUUCACCUAAUUGUGACAUAUCACCCGUGUCUAUAGCGACCCCAGUCUCAAUCGGAUAAUAUUUGAAAAAUCCCUGAGAAACCCAGUGGUUAAUUAUUAGUUAGGGCACAAACAGCAAAUACAUAAUGACAUCAUCGUUUCAAGUAAAUUUCUAUAAAUACUAUAAGACUACUAGAUAAAACAGAAAAAGAGCAUUGUAAUAAUAAAGGAUAUUGCACAUCCUGAUCAUUGUAGGAUAUACUUUUCCAAGUUAGAAGAGCAUGUAUAUUAAAUUUCAAUUGAGGUGGGUCCCUCCUCCAUCAUGACCAUCUGAUGGAUAAAUCCAUCAGAUUCACUUUUCUCUAGAUAAAGAUAUGAGUUGUAGGUACAGUAUUGUCGGCCUUUGCAAUAGAGAUAUAUCACGGACCUACACUAUCACCAUUAACUGUGCCACUUAACCUACUAAUUUUGGUCAGUGGGCCCCUAGAAUAUCUGAUGCUUUAGGUUUUAGCUUGAGUCAAAGUGUUUCACAAAAAAAUUGCAGCUUUCCAAUAAAGUAUAUGAUAUGAAAGAGAUAAUUGAACUGAAAACCACCAUUUUGAGCAAAAAAUUGUUUGAAUGAUUUUCAUUAAAUUUUUAACUAACAAUUAACAUACCUUAACUUCCACACAGAAUUUGAUUUAUGACGAAUCAAACCCCAAUUUCUAGAUUCUUUAAUAAUAAAGGAUAAAUUGAGAUUCCCCUAAAAUAGGAUCAAAUGGUCAAACUAGCUAUUGGGAGUGCACAAUCACAUUACAGGUCAGGCCAAGAUCCCCAUUAUAAGUAUCGUACUUGAGCCAACCAUUGUUGAAGAGGACUCAUGUGAAGAGCUGCAAAGCAAGGAGAAAGUUUUGGUAUGGAACUAGAGGACAUAGGAGAACUUAGGAGGUAACAGGUGAAUGCUUAACAGUUGGACAUGAGCGAAGAAGAGUAAAGCAUGAAAGUAUUAUACAUUGUAUUUAGCAACUCAAAACAGUGCGAGGAAUAAGAUCUCAGCUCUAAGCAGAUGAUUUUUGGACGCAGAUCAUUAUCAAAAUUUGUACAUCACUCAUUACUCAUGCAAAAGUAAUAAACCAAAGUGGGUAGAGGUGGAAACGGCAAUGCGAUUGGGACUGGAUCCAAGAAAGAGACCCAAGUGAUGGGUGAUGACAUGAGAAAUUUUGACCUUGAGGAAUAUGAAAAGUAUAUAUAAGAUUGAUUAAGGCAUAGAAUCAGGGAACAAUUAUCAUAGAGCAGCAAUGGUACAAAAAAAUAGUCUAAGCUCUCUUUUUGCAUGUCUUUUUUUUAGAAUUUUAUUUAAUGCAUUAACUCAUCUUAUGGCGGAAUAAAUUGCUGAUGCUAUUUUCUGCUUCACUUUAUAAAAAAUUGUAAUCAAUUUGUAGUUACUAAUAAAUUUGCAGAUUCUAGUAAAUAAGUAGUAAAUCAAAGAUUCAAAAUAAGAAAUGGUCAGGAACUUGUCCAGUACAAGAUAGGUUAUUGACACAAGCACAUCAGCCAGAAAGAAGAAGAUAUUGGGUACACUACAUGUGUAUGAAAAAGGAAAAUAUGAAUGAUAACAAAAAUACAACUCUCAAUACCAUUAAAAAGGCUAUCUUACCUGCUUGAAGUGCCCGUGGACCAAGGCUAUAGUCCAGAGAGUAUUAUUGCACCUUGAUCGUAUAGCUUGUGUCAGAAAUUCAUUCCAUACGAACAUGUUCUCAUAUAACAUCUUCUCCCCACCCGAUGCAAGGACAUUUUUCUGUAAGCUUUGCAUGAUGGGAUAUGUGUAACUAUAGUAGAAAUCCUUCGUGAGAUCAACGCUAGAUAAAAGCUUCUUGUACCUGCGACAAAAAAGGAUAGAUUCUUAGGCAGGAAGCAAACAUGUUGAUGUCAGGACUGAACAUAUAUGAAAGUGCUUAGUUGAUAACAAACUUGUUAUUCUUACAGGAUAUUGGGAAAGGAAGGGAAAUAGGAUUAUACUCAACAAACAUUGCAUCUAGAGGGAUCUGAUUAUUAUUUUUAAAUGUUUCCUGUGUAAAGAUUAUUUUAAAUGACGAAUCUGAUUUCAGCUCCACGACCUCAAAAGUUGCAAAUAUCUUGAACAGAUGAAGUUAUGGACUUUAGUAGAGCUACUUAUCAACACACAGAAAGGAGGGAAUAACAUGGUAGUGUGUAACAAGGUGAAAGAAUUAUCAAAGUGGUGGCGCAUUUAGAGAGUAAAUGAGCUUGCUUUGGUAUCAAUUGAAUGAUACAGUACAUGAGCAAAGAUAGAUUUUUGAACUCAUGAUACUAAAAUGCUCUGUAUCAGAUAUAAUUCCACACCUAUUCCAGUUCAUUAACCAUCUUUAACUCGUCAUUUAAGUAGCGGCCCAGGAAGGCCAAUGUAUUUCUUAGAAAAAAUGCUGAUUUUGAUGCUUAAGAUCUAAAUUAUACGAGAUAGAACACUACCGAAGCUCCGUUUUGGAAUGGGCGACAUCAGACUGUAUCGAUGAAUGGGGAAUGGUGAUCAGUUGACUUUCAUCAAUGCUAUAAAUCCCAUGUCCACAUAUAGACCCAAUCUGACGACGCUUUGUAACCAGAAUCAGAUAGUACGACUCCAAAAACUUGAUGCAGCCUUACAAGAACAAAAAUAAGGCACCAAAUUCAAUAAAAAUGUCAUCUCUAAGACUAAAUUAAACAAAAUUGAAGAGCACACUAACAAAAUUUGAACCUGCAAUGCCAUAGACCUUCACGACGAAGGUGAGACCGCCGGUGGCUCGAUUACCCUCGCUGAUCCUCUGGAGGAGGUUCUUGACCUCCUGUGGCGAGUACACCACGGGGUCCUCACUGAUGUUCAGAUCGGAGGGUUCGGAACGGUCGAUCUUAAGCACCCGGAAGAACCGCUUCUCCCGAUCGCUCCCAAUUAGGUAAAAUCUCUGCAACAAUCGCAACCAAAAGAACCGCAAUUAAACCUAAAUCCAUCUCAGAACAAUAGGAGAAAUCGAUGCGCGAGGAAAAGGGUGGGUACCGCGCGGGUCUCGUAGAGACGGAACUUCUCGAGAGAGCAGGAGUUGGGAUCGAAGUCUUGGUCGGCGAGCGGAGAAGGCGGAGGUGGCUUCUUCGCGAGGGCGGAGGGGUUUUGCUUGGGAUUCUCGGCUUUAGCCAUGACGACCGUCGCGGUCGGGCAAAGACGGUUAGGGGCUGGGGGGUCAUAUUAUAUAGUCUUCGCCUGGAGGUAACAGAAAGACUCGUUUAUGGAUUAGCUUGGGUGGUUUGGGUUUGGUUGGGUUGAUUGAUAGGCAGAACGGUUAAAAAGCAAAGAUCCAGAGUACUGUGGGGGCUGUUGGCAGUAAAAUUUUUGAAGAUAAAGUUAUUAAAAAUAAAAUUUUUUGAAGCAAAAUUUUUAUAAAAAAAUAUUUAUUAUUUAAUAAUUAUAUUUUUAAAAUACCGUAACACUUUAAUAUAUAUUUGAUAAACAAACUAAGAAAGUAAUUUUGUAUGACAAAAUUAUCAUAAAGAACAUUGCAUAGUAUUAUACAACAGAGCAUAAUAAAAUAUAAUAUAUAUUAAUAUAUAAAUAUAUGAUAUAGUAUAAUAUUACUGUACUAUAAUAUAAUAUUAUUAUAAUAUAGUAAUAUAACAUUAUAUACUGUAGAAUAAUAAUUUAAUAUAAUAUUAAAUUAUUUAACAUAACAUAUCAAUAUAUUAUGAUAUAAUGUAAUACAAUAUUAUACUUAUAGUAUAAUAUAAUAAUAAAGGUAUAAAAUAUUAUAGUUAUUAGUGUAUAUUAAUUUUUCAUAAUAUAACAAAAUAUUAAAUUAUUUAAUAUAACAUAUUAAUGUAUUAUGAUAUAAUGUAAUAUAAUAUUAUAUUUGUAGUAUAAUACAAUAAUAAAUGUAUAAAAUAAUAAUAGAAAACAAGCAUACUUUUUCUUGUACGGAAGGGAGUUUGAUCCACGGCUAGGGUUCUUUGUUAGGAUUUCAUCAGAUUUUUAGAUUUAUAAAGGGACAAAGUAUGUAAUUGUUAUAUUCUAUUAUGGGUAUUUUGGUCAAAAAAACAGCUUUCCGAUAAAGCUCAAAAUAGUUUUUUUGGAAAGCUCCAAAAUGGAGCUAUCUCAAAAAGCUAUUUUUAGCUUUCUGGAAAAGCUAAAACAACUUUUCGAAAUUUUCAUCCAAAAAUACUUUUGGAUGGCCAAAAGGUGCUUUUUUUUGGCCCUCUAAAAGCUCUCCCAAACGGAAUCUGAAUAUGUCUGAUCCUAUAAGUUGAUCAAAUAAGCUAUACAAUUAAAAAUUUCUUUUAUUUCUCCUUAUUAUUAUGCAAAUUAUUUGGCAUGCCGAAUAUCCUUGAGUGAUUCAGAAGGAUGAUGUAAUGCAUGAAUGCGAAAUAAUAAAGCGAAUAUUUGAUGGAUGGAUAUUAGGCAUUUGCUUGAUGGAUGUGAUACCAUCAAAAAAUAAUUUAAAAUUUAUUUUUUUCCAGCCAUUCAAUAAGUGCAACUUGCAAUAUUGAUUCAAGCAGAAAGUAUUGUGACGUUCUCAUCAUAUAUGUACUAGCAAACUUUUUGCUCUGCAUCGGACUAGUAUCAUUCAUGCGAUUUAUUGUCUGAAGAGUUUCACAUCUGAAAACAUCUGACACAAGUGAACAAUAAUCGGCAUGGUGAAGUGCUGGUUACAAUAAUAGAAAAACAGAGAGGAAGAUGGAAGAUAGAAUGAGGGUGAAGAUUGUAGAGAUUUUUUAUUCACCGUAUUGAGUUGUGAUACAGGGUACUUAUCUAGGGGAAUUGAAGCUUCCGGAAUGCAGUUAAUAAGCUGUUAGAACACAGCUGUAUUAGUUACAGGAAACUGAUUCUGGUAGUCAGUUUUAGAGAAGAAUGACGUGGCAUUCUAACACCCCCCAUCAAGCUGAAGGAGGUGUCUUAAGCUUCAGCUUGGAGCAAAGAUGACGAUGUCUUGGAAUGGAGACCGGUUUGGUGAACAGAUCUGCUGGUUGAUCCUGAGUGGCUAUAUGAGCCAAGUGAAUUUCGCCGGAAUGGACCUUUUCUCGGACAAAGUGGUAAUCCACUUCGAUGUGCUUGGUCCGGGCAUGAAAGACUGGAUUGUUGGCCAGAGCAAUGGCGGAUAUGUUGUCACAAUGUAGAACCGUGGGUGCUGAAGGCAAAACCUGAAAUUCGGAGAGAAGUCUUCGAAGCCAGAUGAGUUCGGAUGCUGUGACUGCCAGAGCUCGAUACUCAGCUUCUGUAGAUGAUCGUGCUACGGUUGGUUGCUUCUUAGCAUGCCAAGAAACCAGAUUGGGCCCAAGAAAUAUGCAAAAACCGAUGGUUGAUCUGCGAUCAUUGGAAUCACCUGCCCAAUCGGAGUCAGAAUAGGCAGCUAACUGAAAAGAGCUUGGCUGAAAAUGAAGAGAUGAAGAUAGUGUGCCUUUUACAUAUCUAAGAACCCGUUUGAUCAACUGGUAGUGAUAGUCAAGCGGGGAAUGCAUAAAUUGGCAUAGAAAGUUGACUGAAAAUGAGAUAUCAGGACGAGUGACGGUGAGGUAUUGAAGAGAACCGGCUAAGCUCCGAUACAGUUCUGGUUUGGAAAACAGACCAGAUGCAUGCUUUGGAACCUCACGCUUGGUGGGUAAUGGUGAGGAAACCAGUUUGCAGUCCUGUAGUCCAGCCCUCUGAAGAAGUUUGAGAGCAUAGUGUUGUUGGCUGAGUGAAACACCAUUGCCAGAGAAAGUGGCCUGAAGCCCAAGAAAUUGAGAGAUGUUGCCCAGAUCUUUCAUAUGAAAUCUACUCUGUAGUUGUGAGAAAAGAAGGGACAUAGCUUGAGAAUUGUUCCCGGUGAGCAGUAUAUCAUCCACAUAGAUGAGAAUGUAAAGAAUAACUCCAUCUUUCUGAAAAAUGAACAAAGAGGGAUCUGCUGUACUUGACUUGAAACCAUGAUCCAAUAAGAAACUUGAGAAGGUUGCAAACCAUGCUCUGGGGGCUUGCUUCAACCCAUAAAUGGCCUUUUUGAGAUGGCAAACAUGAUUGGGAUAGAGAGGAUUGAUGAACCCCCGUGGUUGUUCCAUGAACACAGAGUCCUCCAAACGACCAUGGAGAAAUGCGUUGGAGACAUCAAGCUGUCGAAUGCUCCAUUUUGAGGUAAGGGCAAGAGCAAGGAGAACCCGAAUAGUAGGGAAUUUAGCUACAGGGCUGAAUGUUUCAGUAUAAUCUAUGCCAUAUUCUUGCUUGAAUUCCUGUGCCACAAGCCUAGCCUUAUACCGAGCUAGAGAUCCAUCAGAGUGAUGUUUAAGUCGGUAUAUCCAUCUGCAGCCAAGAACGUGCUGAGAAGGAGGACGAGGGACCAGUUCCCAGGUGUUUUGGACCAUCAGGGCAUCAAAUUCAUGAGACAUAGCCCUUCUCCAAUUGGGAUCUUUAACGGCCGAGGUGUAGCAGGAAGGCUCGGCUGGAUCCUCAGUAGUGUGAUGCAGAGAAAAUAUACGCUUAGGCCGUAGAGAGCCUGUCUGUAAUCUGGUGAUCAUGUGGUGAUGAGGAACAGGCGAAGUAGACAAAACGGGUGAAGAAAGAGAGGGCGGGAGUGAAGAUUGAGGUGUGGGAGUAGCCGUAGCAGAGGAAUGAGCGGAUGCAUGAGGACCUGUAUCGAAAUGCAAAGGUAGCAAGGAGGUAGAUGAUGAAGACGGGAGCAUAGAUGGUGGUACCAGACAACGAAAAGGUAGUAGAGGUGGAUGAGGCGAAACAGUUGCAUUGAAAGAGGAGUAUGGGAAGUAAGUUUCAUCAAAUUCUACAUGUCGAGAGAUAAAAACCUUCCCAGUGGUGGGAUUAAGGCAACGAUAUGCCUUGUGCUGGGAAGAAUAACCAAGGAACACACAUGGAGUGGACCGGGGUGAAAGCUUGGAAGAAACAUAAGGCUUGAGCCAUGGGUAACAUCAACAACCAAAACACUUCAAGAAUUUGUAGUCAGGUGGCCUGUGAUGCAGAAGUUCAAACGGGGACUUGUGGUGAAGUAAAGGAGUAGGCAGGCGAUUAAUGAGAUAGUUUGCAGUGAGCAAAGCUUCAAUCCAAAAUUGAGAGGGAAGAGAGGAAUGCAGUAGCAGACUCCGGAGCACUUCGAGCAGGUGUCGGUGUUUGCGUUCAGCAGCACCAUUCUGCUCAGGAGUGUAGGGAGCAGACAUUUGAUGGAUAAUUCCAUAUUGAGCAAAGAGAGAGUUAAAACGGCCAUUGUGGAAUUCACCUCCACCAUCAGAGCGAAAAAUUUUAAUGGAAGAGGAGAAUUGAUUUUCAACAAGCGAUUUGAAUUUCUGAAAAAUGGGAAAUACAUCAGAUUUUCGAGCCAGCGGGUAGACCCAAGAAAAACGAGUGAAAUCAUCAAGAAACAACACAUAAUAUUUGAAUCCCUUUACAGAAGGAGAGGGAGAUGGUCCCCAUACAUCAGAAUGAAUUAGUUCUAAAGGUUGAUUAGAGGAAAUGGAAGACGGGUUGAAGGGUCGCCUGUGACUCUUUGCCAUACUGCAGGACGAACAUGAAGGGAGACCUGAAGUAGGAGAAAGAUGAAGCCGCUUGGAGACUUGAGACUGAACAGAUGCAGCAGGAUGUCCAAGACGGUGAUGCCAAAGGGAUGCGGAUGAUGAUACUGAAGCAGUAAGUGCCUGUGGCGAUGAGGAGGAUGGAGAACGUUGAACGGUCGAAAGAGAAACUAUGUAGAGCCCCUCAGUGCAGGGACUCUGAAGGAGAGUUUUGUUGGUAAUUUUGUCCUUGACAGUGCAACCAGCAGAGUCAAAGAUUAGGAUGCAGUUGUUAUUAGUGGCAAUUUUAUGAACAGACAGGAGAUUAUGAGAAUAUGUGGGGCAUGCAAAAGUUGGGAAAGACGAAAGAAAUGAAAAGGGGUUUGAAGAAUGCCUGUACCUGACUGGCUGAUUGAAGUAGAGGACCCAUCGCCAAGCAUGAUUUUCUCUGAACCACGAUAUGACACAAGAUUUUGUAGGAGAGAAGAAUCCGAUGUCAUAUGUGUGGACGCACCACUAUCUAUAAUCCAAUUACCUGGGGAAGAUUCAGAGGAGGAAUGUGCAAUGAGAGCCUGAGGACGAGGAGUAGAUAGGGAUGACACAUGGUAGUUAGGAUCCAUUCGGAACCAACAAUAUUGUGCCGUGUGCCCUCUUUUGUAGCAAAUUUGACAUUCAACAGGUGAUCGUUGAUCCCUGCUCCGGACAGAUGAAGUCCAACUUCCUAAUCGAGAGCGACCUCUGCCUCUGUUGACAUAGGAAAAGCGUCCUCGGCCUCUUCCUCUGGAGGCCAGCAAAGCAAAAGCUGAAUCACCUGCGGUAGCCUGCUUGUCCUUAGCAGCAAGAAUAAUUUCUUCACUGCAUAACAGAGCAUAGAGCUCAUCUAGAGUAAUGGAGGAUGAGCGUGUCCGAAUGGAUGUAGCAAACGAGUCAUAUGCAGGUGGAAGCCCGUUGAGAAUAUAAAGGAUGACGUCUUCAACAUCCGGAAUCGAGCCAGCUGCAGUCAGAGCAUCGACUUUCUCACGAACACCAUAGAGAUAUUGUUGCAUGGAAAGUUCAUUUUUCUUGAUAUUAUGAAGUCCAUUUUUGAGCUGAACUAUAUGGGAUCUGGUGGUAGAAUUCAGACGAACCUCCAAAGUAGACCAAAUUUGGUCACAAUGAUCAAGGUUGAUCACAAACGGUAAAACAGUGGAAGAGAUGGUAGAGGUUAGUGCUGUGGCUAGGAACUGGUCAGUGAAGGACCAAGCUUCAAAUUCAGUGGAUGUGGAUAGGGAAGAAGGUUUUGCAGUUCCAUCAAGGAAACCAAAAAAGCCACUAGCCUUGAAAAUCCUGGUAAUAUGAGAUUUCCAGGUUAGAUAGUUAUCCGAAGUGAGUUGAUUAGAUACCAGGGAUUGUAUUCGUGUGACCAAAAAUUUUAGAUUGGGAGAUAUAGCUAAAGUGGAAGAGCUCCUGGCAACUUCGUCGGACCUGUUGACGGAACCAGGAGAUGCCAUUGUUUGGUUUCUGAGGGAGGGCAGAACUACUUCGAGGUUGAAGCAGUCAGAUAUAAACUCAUACAAAGCUGUAAACCAUAGUUCUUAUCUCAGCUGAGCAGUAUUUGGAUCGUGCAUGAGAUGAAGCGCUGGAUCCCUGCUCUGAUACCAUGAAGAGUUUCACAUCUAAAAACAUCUGACACAAGUGAACAAUAAUCGGCACGGUGAAGUGCUGGUUACAAUAAUAGGAAAACAGAGAGGAAGAUGGAAGAUAGAAUGAGGGUGAAGAUUGUAGAGAUUUUUUAUUCACCGUAUUGAGUUGUGAUAUAGGAUAUUUAUCGAGAGAAAUUGAAGCUUCCAGAAUGCAGUUAAUAAGCUAUUAGAUCACAGCUGCAUUAGUUACAAGAAACUGAUUCUGGUAGUCAGUUUUAGGAAAAAAUGAUGUGGCAUUCUAACAUUGUCGAACACAAAGCAUUCGUGGACUAUAAAGUUGCCAAAUCCAUAUUUACAGAACUGAAGAACAUUUUUGUUAUGUAUAACUGGCACUUCGAAGUGUUUUUCUUGAGUGAAAAAAGUUUUUCUCUUGAUACACAAAUGACACAUUUGGAAUCUAAUUUUAUUUUCAUUCUCUCAAUGGAUAAAGUGAGUUUAAGAUGUGUGAAAAUAGCUAAAAAUAAUGCAUAUUUAUGAAAGCUUCAUCAUAGGCACCAUGAUUGAUAAGUCGCAAUGCUUUUAUGACCAUACAUAGUAAAGAUGGAUAUAAUUUAGAGAAUCAUAAUCUACCUAUUUAAAUAAUUAAUAUACAUAUACAUGGCACUCUUUUAUUUUAGCUUUAUUUAUUAAUUACUAGUUUCCAACAUUUGAUGCACACAACUUGGAAGAAAUAGAUGGGGAGAGGGAGGAUAAAAAAAGGGAGAGUCAAACUUAGGAUGGAAUGACUUACCUUUCUUAGAGUUAGCAUUAUUAUAGUAGAGAUAUGACCAAAAGAAAUACAAAUAAAAUUUCUCAAGCAUUUUUGUAAAUAAUACUGAUAUAAAUAGACUUUACAAUAAUCUUAAAGAAGUUUUGACACCAAAACAAUGUAGAUCAUAUAAUAGUAAGGAUUCUUUUGUUUUAUGAGAAUGAAAGAAACAUACUUAGAUGAUGGGAUACUCCUUAUAGGCAUAAUCUUUGGUAGGCUAACCUGUUAGAUGUAUGCCCNNNNNNNNNNNNNNNNNNNNCCGGGCCCGGCAUGCGGAUUCCGCCGCGAACGUCGCGCCGCUGUGGGGCAAUCCAACAUAACCUAUCUCUUUAGCAUUGUUUGCGAGUGAUAUGAAUUGUUCUAGAACUAUUCUUCCUUAUUUUGAUUAUUGUAUUAUUUAAAAUAAAUAUAUAAAUAGUAUAAUUUGUGCAAUAAUCAUGGAAUAGCAUGAAUUAUGGAAGCUAAUAAAAAUGAAUUGCAUAAGAGGUAUAUUCAUAUAAUAUAAUUAGAACACUACAAAAGUAAGAAAUUUCCAGUGGACCUUAUGAAUAAAAUAUAAGGUAUUUUGUGUGGAUAUGCUCAUAUUGUUAUUAUAUGAGAGAAAAAUAUAUCAUUUUAGACAUUAUUAUAUGAGAGGAGAAUAUAUCAUUUUAAAUUCUGUCUAUCAAAUUUUUUGACUAAAAUAUUCCUAGUUCCUCUUUUUACAAAUAUCUACAAUGAAGAAGUUAGCCUCUAUUUAUUCCUUUUCCUCUAUGUCUCAUAUCUACAGGUUUUUCUAGACAUCCUAACGAGUAUUCUAUUCUAAAAAAGAUUCUCUAUACAACUCUUAUCUACACCCCUGACUAAUUAUACUCUUUUUAAAAUUUAAAAACAAACAUAUUAUAUAUCUAAUCCAUGUACAUCAUCCCUCUUAUCCUCCAAUUUUUAAGUUCUUUUUAUAUUAAUUUACGUUUAAACAUGCAUUGCAUAUAUGUGUUCAUUGCUAGUAUAAUAAUAAAUCAAGGCUCGUCUUCUUGAGUUCAUAAACACAAUUCAUGAUAAGCAUCAUAUUUUCUUUAGUUGGGCAAAUGGUGUUGAUAGUUGCAGUAGAUGGAAUAUUAAAAUAUUUAAAUCUAAAGUUGUUUUCACCCGAUUUUGGCUGGGCUUCCUUCCUUCAUAAUUAUCUUAACAAAAGAAAAGGAAAAAUUUUAGAAUUUUUUUAUUACUCAUUAUUCUAACAGAUUAAAAGUGGGUCGAGAUACUCUCUCUUUAUGGCAAUCACUUGUGCCUAUCUCAUUAUAUAAAAUGAUUGAUAGCUACUUUGGCUUUAGAAAUCGGUAAUCUUACAAAAGUAUUUAUAAAACAUAUAUAAAACAAAAUCAUUUUUCUGAUUCCACAGAUGAAUAUAAUUAUCCGUAAAUAUCUGUAUUAUACUCAAUAGCACUAAUAAUAAAGAAAAAAAAGAAUACACCCUGCAUUGUAAUAAGUUAUGUUAUGCCAUUGCUUUCACCAAUAAUACUGAUCGAAUACUAGUUUGGACAGAUAUUUUAAGUUAGUUAAUGAUAUUAGUUACAAUUUAAACUAGAGAAACUUCGAUAACUCCAACACAAAAAUAAAAUAAUAGAUUAAAGGUGAGUAAAAAACUCUCUCCUUUUGUUAAAACAAAAUUCCAACUAGAUAAGAAGAAUGUCAAGAAUUGCUUUUACUUUAGAAAUAAGUAAUCUUACAAAUAAUAUUGAAAAACAUGUCUAAAGCAAGCCAGUUUGUUGAUUCCACUCCUUUUGUAGUAUAAAAUAUAACCAUUUGCACUGUAAUGAUUUUAAUGGUGAGAUAAUAAUUCUCUCGUUGGUAAAAUUUAAAGAUAGGUAUACUUUUCUCUCUUUCAACCACUCUACAUAACCACUCCUCAAGAUAAUAUCCUUCUCUCUCUCUCUCAUUAUCUUAUUUUUAAAAAUUUUAUCUAUCAAGUUCAUAUUGUUGAUCAGCAUAUUUUUUUCCCUUAAACAUAGAUUUGCAUGUAAUGAGUAUUAGUUGAAAUAAAAAUAUUUACACUCAUGUUCCUCAUUUACAUGUCCAUAAGGAUCGGAGAGUAGCCAUUAGGAAAAAAAAUGUCUAGAGACAGAGAUGGGAGGGGGGGGUUUGCAAAAGCUCCACCUCUUUUAUUGGAUGCGAGCAGAAAUAAAAUCCAACUCUCUUGUAUUAAUAUAAGAUAAUUUAUUGACUUUAUUAAUUGGCAUAGUUAUCGAAUACGAUAGAUCAAAAUUAGCAUUUUGCAGGUAAAGAAGCAUGCAUUGUUCAUGAAUAGUUAUGAUUUGACCAAUAAUGCUAUAUCUUGUUCAUCUUUAGGUGAUAAAAACACUUCCAUUUUAUUAAUUACUUUCCUUUCAAGCUAUCUCUCUCUCUAUUUUCGCUCAACCUGUAACAAUAGCACACCUAGUGAUCCAAAAAGAACAAAAGAAGACAUGAAAAAAAAAUAGUUAAUGAGCAAUUUUACAAAAAUAGUUUUUAAGGUCAAAAGCUUUAAGUUUUAGAUGCAAUUUUUAGAACAUUGUGCCCCACUAAUAAGGUGUUUGCUUUUUUGUUAUGACCAUGGUUCAAACUCUCUCACAUUUGGCUUUGCUAAAAUUUAAAGCCUAUUCUCUUGGAUUAUAUUUUCAUUUCUAUUUGUAUAAUUUUAGAAAUCACAUAACAAUUUAUAUCAUUUCAUAUCAUUUUUUUUGUUAGCGUAAUUUUGUAUCGGUCAGUAUUAUUUUUCUUUGUUAGCAUAAUCUUUUUAGAGUGAUUUUAGGGAUCACAUAACAACUUGUAUUAGCAAGUAUUAUUUUCUUUAUUAGCAUGAGUUUGUAUCAGUCUAUAUUAUUUUUUUUGUAUGGAGUCUGUAUACGAGUAUUUAUAACCCCUGAGAUAUACCGAAUAUGAUAGAGCAAAGAAAUAAAAUCACUUUUCUCUCUCUUUUUGUCUUGCUUUCAUUUUCUUCUACAAAUAUUUUAAUAAGUUCCCAUCCAGGUCGACUGAAGCUCUUUUAUGGGGUAAAGGUCCGAGUCCGGUUAAGCAAAGGUCUAGAUCUGGUUCGAGCAAAGAUAUGAUAGUCCAUAUCUAAAUGAAAAAGAAAAAUUUGUAGCCACUAUUCAAUCUACCACCCUUUUAUGCAUGGCUAAUGUAGGACUAAAUAUCCUGCAUUUAAAUUGAGAAACUUGAGUCCCCAACCAUUAUGCACCUGCUUGCAUUUCCUCAAGAAGCAUAUGAAGCCUCUUGGCAUUCAAGAUUUUGGAUCUGAUUAUAAGCUCUAGAUUUGAACUUAAUUGGCUCAAAUUGUCGAAUGCAUUUGCGUAUACAUGAUUUAUAUUAAAAUGAUUGAGUAACUCAAAAAAUGUUAGUGUGUUGUAUUUGUAUGGCUCCCUUUGAAUUGGCGUCACGAAUUAUACCAUAUAAUGAAGCACCAUGAAUGGUGCAGAAAAAAUGAGUAAAUUUUUCGCGCUGACUUUUUGAAGUUACCUAAGCAAUACUCUUAAAUAAAACCAUGAUAUAAUUUAAUGGUGAAGGGGUGAGCGCCAACCAAAGGUAUAGACUUAGUAGAAGCAAUAGCCAAAGAAACAGACGGAGAGAGAGCAAAUUAUAACAGUUUUGAAACAUGCAUUGCUUUCUUAGUUUACUAUUACAAAAUCAAAGUUGAUAACCUGAGCACUCAUCCAAAACUGUUUAGUAAAAUGGAUGACUUAAUUAGGUAGACAGAACACACAGUUCCUGAAUCGGCACCAUUCUUUUACAGCGUCGACCAUCCGGUAUGGAGUCCGGUUUGGCAUAUUAUAUCAGUACGUCCCUCAUAUUAUAUAUCGAUUCGAUACUGAUAAAGUCCAAACGGUCCAACCAAUAUAUUGAUUCGAUGCUGAUUUCAAGUACCAUCUUACAUUCUCUCAAACUAUCUUAUGAUCUUCCAAUCCCAAACCAUCUUAUUUCCCUAUAUAUUAUUAAUGAUCUCCGGAAGUUGGUUCUAACCCUAUCAGACCCAAAUAGACUUAAUACAAUCCGACAAAAUUUAGUUCAUCUAGUACCUUAAAUUUGCUUGAAACCAACACUAACUGUGACCUGACCGGACCCACAAAGUAAUGGAACAAAUGGUGGGCAAAAGACUCGCUCUGGUCAAGGUUGGAUCCGGAUUAACUUGGACCCGAACCUAAGCCUAAAUCCUUGUCCCCAUUUUUAUUAUAAAUUACAACCGUAAUCUAAAACUAUAUUAAAUUUCGAUCCAAACCCAAACACCAACCGAUGCUCUCCCAGGCACCAGACCGCGUGCUCACUGCGCGUCAAUUUCCUUCGAAGUUCGAACACCCAAUGGCUUCACGACCACUACCCAGUUUCAAACCCAAAGGCCAAAGCCCCUCUCUCUCUCUCCUCUCCCCGCCAGCCACAGUUUAAUUUUUCUCUCCUUGGAGCCUUCAACCUAUAAAGACCUCCUCCAAUUCUCCACCAAAACCCAGUCUUUGAUCCGAGGAAGACUGGUUUACUCUCACAUGAUAAGAACUUCCUACAGGCCCGGCCUAAUCUUGUACAACAAUCUCCGUAAUAUGUAUUGUAAGCGUGGUGAUCUUUCCACCGCUAACCAACUGUUCGAUAAAAUGCUCGUUAGAGACGUCGUUACAUGGAAUUCGCUCAUGGCGGGAUAUUCUGAAGUUGCCUAUGUCGAUAAAGCCUUGGAUGAGUUUGCUAAGGGUAGAAAGGCAAAAAUCAAGCUUGACCGAAUCAGUUAUGCAAGUGCCCUCAGUGCCUGUGGUGAUCACGGGGAUGCCCAGAAGGGGAGGAUAGUUCAUGGGUUAGUGGUGGUGAGCGGGUUGGCUAGUCGGGCAUUCUUGACUGAUUUGCUCAUUGACAUGUACUCAAAAUGUGGUAGAAUAGAUGAUGUCAGGUUGGUGUUUGAUCAUGCAGAGGAAUUAGAUGAGGUUUCAUGGAAUUCAUUACUCUCUGCUUAUGUCCGGGUCGGAUGGCCAGAGGUGGCCACGAAUAUUCUUGUUUGGAUGCAUCGGUCAGGAGUGAAGCUGAAUAGCUUUGCUCUUGGAAGUAUCCUCAAGGCUUGCUCAGGUUUUAAUGAUUCUGAGGAAGUUCAAAAGAUGUUGCAUGGGUGUGUAGUUAAAGUUGGAUUAGACUUGGAUAUUUUUGUAGGUAGUGCAAUGCUUGACGUGUAUGCGAAGAAUGGUGGAUUGGAAGAAGCAAUUAAGGUCUUUGAAUGCAUACCAAAUCCAAGUGUGGUGCUAUUCAAUGCCUUGAUUGCUGGAUUCUCUCGAUUGGGGACCAAACAAUGCAAUGCAGUCAGAUUUGAUGCUUUAAGACUAUUCUCUGAAAUGCUAAGGAGGCGAAUGAGACCCUCAAAGUUUACAUUCAGCAGCGUGCUUGAAGCCUGUAACUUAAUUAAAGCAUUCAAAUGUGGGAAGCAAAUCCAUGCACAUAUCAUUACAAAUGAUCUUCAGGAUGAUGAGUUUGCUGGAAGUUCAUUGAUCACCCUGUACUCAAACAUGGGUCAGAUUGAAGAUAGCUUCAGAUGUUUUCAUGCUACUUCUAAGAAAGAUAUUUUCACUUGGACAUCCAUGAUCUCAGCAUGUGUUCUGAAUAAGCAUUUUGAAAGGGCAUUGAGUUUGUUUAAUGAAUUGCUGGGCCUUGGAAUAAAGCCUGAUCAGUUCGCUAUAUCAACUAUCAUGAGGGCUUGCUCAAAUUUGGGUAUUUUGAGGAUUGGUGAGCAGAUACAAGGUUUCGCCAUGAAAGCAGGACUUGAUCAGUUCACUGUUUGUGGCAAUUCACAGAUAAACAUGUAUUCUGAGUUGGGAGAUAUCAAUGCUGCUAUCAGGACAUCUCAGAACAUUGGGAGCCUUGAUGUUGUGUCUUGGUCUACAAUAAUCUCAAGCCAUGCGCUACUUGGUUGUGCAACCGAUGCUAUAGGGCUCUUUGAGAAAAUGAUGGAAUGCAUGGUCACACCAAAUGACGUCACCUUCCUUGCUGUUCUAACUGCUUGUAGCCAUGGUGGACUGGUGGAUGAAGGAUUCAGGUACUAACUCCUCUUUCUGAUAAGUUACUGAACUUUGAAAUUUUAUAGGACAUGCUAACUAGUCAGUUGGUCUUCCUAUUACAAAUCCUCCUCCUAGUUUUAAUGCUAGGCCACCUGCUUGCCCAAAGUUCCAAAGUUAAGAAUUCGUCACCAUUUUGUAGGAAGUUGACAUUGUUCCAAGUGUCAAUUGUAAAACAUUCUCAAACUUUGUAGAUCAUAACUUGGUUCAUGAAACCUAUGUAGUACCAGCAAUAAUGCUUGUGGGUUAAUGCUUAUGAUUUAAUCUUAAGUAGUCACUAAGAUUGUUACAGGAAUAUGUUGGACUCAAAUUCCUUUGAAAAUUCAUGAUGUAGUCAAGGUGAAAAGAAAUGAGAAAAAUAAGAGAUGCGUUCAAGUAAGGAAUUCAGUAAACAUUUCUCUUCCCUCUUAAACCAGUCAGGCCAAUUCAGAAAGACAACAAAAGGCAGUGUACCUCAAAAAUGAGUGCAAUACCUCAUAUCAAACCUUAUAUUCUUAACUUUUUGUCUAAACUCUUUUCAAACCUAAGGUAAACUCAAAUAGUAGCUUCAUGGUAGGUUUAACAUAGCUUUAAUUUAUGUAACCACUAAAAUAGGCUCUCUACCCACCAGCUGAUCUACUCGGAUAUUGCAUGGUACGACAAUCUCCUAUUCCAUGUUGCCUUGGCCUGGCUAUCAGUAUCAACUCACUGGAGGUUGAUGUGCAGAUGAGAAACGGUUGUAAAAUGCUCUCUAAUUUUGAUGCAUAAUAUGUCUAUCCAUAAACUCAAACCCAUACAGAUGAGAUAAGCCUUGUUGCUUGAGGUUUUGAUUCAUUGGGUGACAAGAAGGUAAAAAUUCACUAUAGCAAUGCCGUAUUUUUGUGGUAUGGUGAGACUCAAAGUAACACUGCCAAUGCUGGUCCAAUACCUGGAUGAAAAAGGUGGAGUGUUGAUCUUAGAGAACCACAUAAGUAAAAGAAAUGAUGAUGCUGAAGUGAUUUAAUUAAGUUCAAGUAUUUCUUGCAUGAACAUAUUGCGAAAUUAUUGUUGGAGAUUUCCCUUUGACAUAGUUUUUGUUAUUAGCUAGUGAUCCCCGAGUUGCAGCAUACAGAGUUUUAGGCCAGUCAAGGUUACACCAGUGAGACGAGCAGUUAGCAUGUAGCUUUCAGAAACAUUUUCUAAUCUGUCUCUUUAUCUGCAGGUAUUUUGAAAGAAUGAGGACAGAUUAUGGCUUAGCUCCAAAUGUGAAGCACUGUACAUGCUUGGUUGACCUCCUUGGUCGGGCUGGGAGGCUGGUCGAUGCAGAGAAUUUCAUAUCAAGCUCUGGCUUUGAUAAUGACCCAAGUAUCUGGCAUGCCCUGUUGCGUGCUUGUCAAUUCCAUGGGGACAUUGAAAGAGGUAUACGUGCAGGAGAAAAGUUAAUGGUGCUGGAGCCCUUUUCUGCUACAUCAUAUAUGCUUCUUUACAACAUGUACCUAGAUGCUGGGAAAGUUUCUUUGGCAAUGAGAACAAGAGGUUUGAUGAGAGAAAGAGGGGUAAAUAAGGAAAUUGGCAUGAGUUGGAUCGAGAUUGGAGCGUCAGUUCAUUCUUUUGUGGCCGGCAAUAACUCCCACCCCCAAAUAAAUGCAAUUUAUGCAAAAUUAGAAGUAAUGUUGUUUAAUAUAAAACAGAGGAUGAGGUAUGCUGGUGUUAAGAUUUUGGAGCUAGAGUAUAAAAGUGAGAAGUGGAAAGAUCGUUUAAUGAAUAGCCAUGGUGAAUUGUUGGCUGUGGCAUUGGGGAUGUGCUGUUUGCCAGAUUCUAUUCCAGUACGAGUAAUGAAGAACCAAAGGGUCUGCGAGGAUUGCCACACUACAUUGAAGUUAAUAUCAGAAAGUGAAAGGAGGGAGAUUGUCCUUAGAGAUCCAGUCCGGUUUCAUCAUUUCAGUUGGGGUUCGUGUUCCUGUGGGAACUACUGGUAAAUUUUAGCGGCGAGCUGAGUUAUUAGCAUUCUUCAGAAAUACAACUCCAUAUUUUUGACUGUUCGAUGAUGUGAGGAAGCAUUCUUACCUCACAUGAGUGAUAAGAGAUUACUCUCAUCUUGGUAGCAACAUAUAAUUUUAUAGAGCUAACAUAUCUUACAGGAGCCACAAUGUGCUGCUUGUUCAUGAGGAAGCCGAAUUGUCAAGUUCAUCAGCAUUUGUGAUCAUUACUGAAGUGCAAUUAAAGAGGACCAAUCUUUUAAGAAACAAAAGCAACAUCAAAGUGCUAUGAAACAUAAAUAUGUUUUCCAUAUUUGCUUGAUGUUCUGAAAAUUUGGGUUCUUAGAUGGCACUGAUGACAGUCAACAGCUUGCCAUAAGGAGGGCCUGAGUACAGGUUGAGGGUCACAGAGGGAGGUGAAGGAAGACUAGUAUCGAAAUGACAAGAAAAGACUUGAACACCUUUCUUGACAGCCCCGGCGAGGGCUUCCUGGAUACAAGUUGAAGGUUAAAGAGGGAGUUGAAAGAAGACAUCACAACAAAAUUGGGAUCGGGGAUUUAAUAACCAAUUGGAAAAGGAUUUCAUUGACUUCGAUUAGAGAAAUAAGGUUUGUUCUUUAUUUUUAUUUAUGUAGAUAAACAUUCAUUAUUGCAUGACUGCAUCCAGUUUUAUUUUAGGACACAGGAUUUUUAAGCUUGAGUUAAGAGUAAACGUUGCAAUAAGCUGGAGUAUAUUUUCUUGUAAAUUGUAGAGCUCUGUCAGCUGGCUAAUGAUCAGUAAAUUAGUAAAAUUCCCACCUGCCACAUGCAGGCAGCUCAGAUUGAAGAAUUAGAUGGAGGAACUUGAACUGAUCUUGUUGUCAAUUCACCAUCCUGUCAUUGAAUUAUUCUCUUAUCAUGGCUUUUAAACUGAUCUCAUUGUUAAUUUACCAUAAUAUCAUGCAGUUUUUUUUUAAUUUUCCUUUGUCUUUAUUUUAUAUCAUAAUCCAUUUCAUUCCAGGAUCUUUAGAAGCAAAGCCUUAUGCUUGGUAUACAUCCCUCUAAAACAUUAACCCUCAACUGUUGCUUUGGGAUGCAGUUACUGCAUUCCGUUAAUCUAAUGACAACCAUAGAAGAUUGGGUUUUUUAUCUUUAUCUAUGAACGAGUUGAGCUUCUAAGGACUCACAACCUAAAUUUUUACCAUUGCAAUACUGAUGAUGAUUUAUGAGUAUUGUAAUAAGGACUUGUUUGAAUGCCUGAUAAUGUAUCCAUGUGAUACGUUUCGUGAUAGUGGGAAUCAGUCAAGGGGUUGUGAUGUAAUAGGAACCAAUUCAGUUGCAACCGGUUGUCAAUGCCCAGCAGCUAGGAAUUAUGGUAACAUAAUCCAGCAGAAACAUGUUCUUCUGUAUUGCUAAUAGAUCAGUAUAAUGCAGUUCUUAGCUCCUUCAGUUCCACAGAUUUCCUCACUCAAUUCCUUUUCUUUUUUUGAGUCUUCUCAUGCAGCCAUUGUCAUGCAAGGCCAAGUAAUUAGGCCCUAUAUAUUUAGCAUUGUUGUUAGUAGUGUGCUUUUACAAACAUCUAUUUGUUAUUUGGUAGCUUUAUUUUUAAGGCACUGUGGAAUUUAAAUAUGUGUUUGGUAACCAAAUUGAGAAGUGCUUUUGGUACGACAAAAUAACAAUAAAGUUCAUGGCAUAGUAUGGUAUAGUAUAGCAUAAUAUAAGGUAAUAUUAUAUAUUUUUAUAUAUUAAAAUAUUACUAUAUAGCAUAAUAUUAUUAUAGUGUAAUAUAUUGUAAUAUAAUGAAAUAUGUAAUAUAAUUUUAUAAAUAAUAUAGUAUAAUAAUAUAAUAUGAUAAGAUAUGAUAAUAUAAUAUAUGAAUACAUCAUUACAAUGUAAUAUUAUUGCACAGUAUAAUAUUAUCAUAAUGUAAUAUAAUAUGAUAUAUAUAUAUAAUAUAAUAAAAUAAUAUAUUAUUACAUGGCAUAAUAUUAUUAAAGUGUAAUAUAUUAUUGUAGUAUAGUAUAAUAUAAUAUAAUAAUAAUAACUCAAUCACAUCCAUUGAAAUAAAAUCAACUCUCAAAAGAAGUAGGAGGUAGGCAUGAUAAUUGAAGAGAGACAGAGAAGAGGGGAACGUGAAAAAGGAAGGGGAGAGAGUGGCGAGGAAAUUACCUUUCUCUCUUUCUCUCUCUGGGUAAGUCCACUAGGAUAAGGGUGCAUCUUUCCAGUUUUGACCAUUGGUUCAUCAACUGCUCGCUGUGAGAUCUAUGUAAUGGAUGAAUGAUGAUGUUUUGAGCACUUUGAGAGCUGUGUAUUUGGCUAAGCCUUAUGCUUAUUGGGAAGUAAAAAAAGUGAGCACAUAAUUAUUAGUUCGGUUGAGCCCUAUGAUUGGCUAAGCCUUAUGCUUGUUGAGGGAAAAAAUUUGAAGGAGAAAAAGGAGCCCUACGAACUAAGGCCCCUCCGUUUCGGCAACGAUGUCAAUGAAAGUAAGGUUGAAUCAACUAUUCCUUCUUCUUUCUCCUGGCAAUCAAUGAGCCGAAACAUCAUUAAAAAAAAAGAGCUGAGGGCAUGUCCCGACUAGGACGGUCGCAACAAUUCAUGACCCGACUGGGAUGAAACAAGACCAUUAGGAUGGGGGAUGGAAGUGCGUUUUAGGGUCAAGUACUUGUCCCACACACUACAAUCUCACUAGAAUGGGACAGAAUGGCCGGGAUGGCUCUCGUCUUGUUAAGACUUCAAUUCUUGGUUUAAUUUAAAUGCCCAACAUGCUAGAUAUGCUCAAGUCUUCUUUUUCUUGUUUCCUUCUUGAAUCGGGACAUAAGCGAGACAAUCCAUUAUAUGUAGUUAUGCAUACCACAAGAUUAGAUUCGAUCUUUUGAGGGAAGAAGUAAAGUGGGCAUCCACUCCUUCAAUCACAAGCAUUUACAUUACAUAGCACUCAAAAGCAUUAGGCAUAUGCUCCAUUGGCUGGAUGGGAACAUUCACUUUAUGUCAAUAUAUGAGAAGAUUGUUAGGGCUUGUUUGGAUAUUCCUACAAGAUUGGAUUGAAAAUCCUAUAGAAAUCAGACCUAUUCUCCUAUCUAGCUUAUAUUUUCUAAGAGUUUGCCCAAACUCACCCCCAAUUCUAGCCUUUGUGUCUGUUAACCUAUGGAGUUUUUUUAUGUUUCUUCUCACAAGAUUUGGAUUGGGCGAUAUUUGAUUGAUACAUGAUUAUGCUUAAAUGGGCGGCCUGUAGGAAUUAUCCAAACAUACCCUAAUGAAGAAUUUGCCGCUCGACUCAUUUGAGCAAUCCAAUAUCUACUCUAUUAGCAAGAUUCAAACCGCUCUUUUGAAGCCAGCAAGAAUGUCCACACCUUCGUUACAAAGUUCUUUACAAUAGAAAACGGCCAGUGUCCUGAAGUAGUAGUAUUAGAUUGUUGUUUGAUGAGCAGAGAGUGCCACUCUACGUAAAACUCUCCAAUCUUCUUACACGGUAAUUAUCCUUAGUGGUUCAUUUCAUUGUGUCCAGAUAUUACAUGACUUGCAACUGCAUCACAUUCUCUCUUCAUGCACCAUUGUCACAUGUUACCAUGAAUCUUUAAGCAGUGUAAGUUUAAAUAAACAAAGACUCAGUUUAGAAUGCAAGAUACUGAUUUCACUGGCAUAGGCUGGUAAAAAAAGAAAAAUCGGUUUUGGGAGGACAUAUGGAUUGGACCGGCUCCUUUUGCUUCUUUAUUUGAGAAUCUUUAUCAAAGAGAAAUAAAGAGGAAUAUAACAAUAGUUUCUCAAUGGAAUUGUCGACAUCGAAAGUGGAAUAUAAAGAUAUAGGGUCCUUUCCGUUACACGCGCGCACACACGCACACCCACGCACAUGCAUGUGCACGCAUGCACACAACACACGCACGCAUGCGCGCACCCAGGCUAUGAUGCAUCUUCUCUUGCCUAUGUGGAGUCUAUACAGUAAAAUCCUAUUACAAGUUAAUCAAUAAUGGAGACAUCAUACCUGAAAAGGCUAAAGUCCUAAUGUGGUUGAAUUUAAAAAAUAAAUUACAUAUAGAAAAAGUAUUAGCAAGGAAGGGUUGGGCAGUAAGCACAAGAUGCCCAUUAUGUAGAGCAUGAACAGAGAAUACAACCCAUCUAUAUCUCAAAUAUCUCUUCACAAAAAGUAUUUAGUAUUGUCUCAAAAUCUAGAGGAUGGCAAACUAGCCUUUAGUCUCUUUGGUCAUCAUGGAGAAUUAAGAAAAUCCAACCCUCAAUCAGAAGAGCUUAGGAUUAGCUGAUGAUUGCAUUUUGUUAGCAGAUUUGGCAUGAAAGAAACUUUCAUAUCUUCCUCAAAAGAAACUCAUCUAUUCAUGCGGUGCUAUGUAAAAUGCUCCAUACUUUUUAAGUUUUGGCAAAACCUGUGUCCAGUCAAUUGGCUGAAUAGCCACAAGAUGCUCAUAUCCACUCUCUCGCCUCUGAUGUUAUCUUUUUAAACAUGAUAUUGUAAUUUUAUUUUAUCUCCUUUUGUACAUACUCGGUACAAAAAUAAUCAUUAUCAUCAAUAAAUAUAGGGGGAAAUGUUUUUUCACUUCAUUGCACUUCAAAAAACCAAAAAAAAAAAAUGAUAAGGAGACACUGGUACAUGGUCAAUGGAAAAAAAUGUCGCUGAUCUUUGAAACCUAAUGUCAAUUACUGAUAUUUGACUAUAAUAUAAUACCAUUGUGAUGUUCUUACUUCUCAUCCCUAAAGAAAAAGGCCCUGUGAUGUAUGUGGCUAAAGUAUUGGAAGACUAGAUUUACAGGUUUUGAAGCCAAAAAACCGUAAAAUCACUAUUUUCGAGCUUAAGAUUAAUGGAAUUCAUAUAUUAGGAGGUUCGAUUUAGGAGAACAAAUGCAUCAACUUUCAGAAGAGUUGAGCUAGAUUCCAAUAUAUCAGUCAGCAACUAAGCCACAUUUCCUUGACGUAAAAGAAACUAAUACUUUCAAAUCCUACAAUAUGUAAUUUUAAUCCAGUUUGAAGCAGUCUUUGUUAAAAUAUGUUAUCCUAUAAGAGAUAGGCCCUUUUGCCACAAUGUCAUCAUCCCCCACCGAGGAUAAGUUAUUAUUGAAAACUCAAAUCAACCACAACAUUAGAACCAGAUGAUGAACACGAAUCCUACCUCAAAGAUAAUGAAUGUUACAUGAAUACAAUCUUUUAAACUUCUCCCAUGCAUGCAAACAAGAGUAAUAACAUUUUUGAUAUGAUGCUUAAGAAGAGUGGCUCAACACAUUGCUGCAUACUUUAAAAGUAAAAUCUAGAGCAAACCUACUGUUCUACUCCUGGACCUAGACGAGCACCACAAACAGUAGUUGGUUUGGGGUACCCUGUUCAUCUUCUUAACUGCCCACUGGCUCACGAGACUAUAGACAUGAAAAAUAGAGGAUGUUAGGCUCACAAAUUAAUAGCGAUGAAAGUGCAUCGGAGAAUAUCCAUCCAGAUCUAUUUUCAUAUCUGAAUCUAUUCAGGUAUAGACAGAAAUUUGAGCAUCUAAUUAAUAUUCGUAUUUGUAUCCAUAUCCGUCAAAGAAAAAUCAAAUAUGGAUACAAGCAGACAACAACCUAAUCUGCAUGCAAGUACCUGAUUUUAUUUAUAAUCUUAUUUAAUUUUAUAUAAUACUCAUGAACUUUUGAAAAAAUAUAAAUUUUUACAUCCAACUAAUAUGCAUCAGUAUUUGUAUUUAUCAAAUUAAAUAAAUAUAGAUAUGGAUAUACUGGCAUCUGAUAAUCUGGUUUCAAUCCUAAUCAGUAAGGAUGACACUCGGAUGAUGUGAUCUCUUGCAUGGCUGAUGAUAAGAGGACAACAAUUGGGUGGCCCACCCACUAGUAAUUGAAACACUCCAGGCAACAUGUACAUUUUUUUAAUUACUAUAUAAAAAAUGCCAUGCCAUCUUUUGGUCACUCUAUGGUCAUUUUUUAUGCUUACCCUUUUGUUUAAUAUUAAUACCUCUUCCACUUGAGGUUUCUAGCACAUAGAAUUGAAGUGAACAAUAACAAGAAAAUCAAUUGGAGAUUUGGGUGGGCCAUUUAAAUUAUAGAUAAAUCCAAACAGCCAAAAUGACCCAUCUCUGCUCUACGGGGACACUGGCGAGGGCAACUCCUUACUCCUCAGUGAUGUACAUUAAUUGCUAAUCCAUAGGCAUGUAAAUGGAGGACGGACUUCCAAGUGGAAAGAUAGUCCAAAACAAUUAAAUUCAUUCUAUGAUGAAUAAUAUUAAUUGGCAACCAAUAGAAAUGUACUCCAAUUGUGGACUAGGAAGGACAAACAGGAAAGCUCAAAAGAAUUCACUUCAAUUAACUGCGAGUUAAUGUUAAGGUCUAUUUUUCUCAUUCCUCCUCCCCUAAGAAUUGCCACAAGGGCUAUAGGUUACUUUGUUUCUUUGCUUUUGCAAGCAAAGAGGUGUAUGGAGAACCAUUGGGCUUUCGGACAACAUGGCCCAACGGUAGAGUUUCCACCACAUUUCUUAUAUAUAUAAAAAAAAAAAAGCUCAAUAUCAAUCUAAAAACUCUCUACGAAUCCGACCAUUUGCAUUUAUUUAAUUCCAUUAAUAACCAUUUAAUUUAUAAUUUAUUACAGCUGUGAUAUCAUACCAAGAUUGUAUAUGCAAUAUAUGGCAGUUGUAAUAUCAUAUCAAAAUUGUGCAUGCAAUAUGUGAUAGUUAUGAUAUUCAAUAUCAUACAUACUAUAAUAGGUGAGAUUGUGCAUGACUCGAUACUACUAGCAAGAUGUUUGCACAUUAUUUCUUAGAAAAUUUUAAAUUAAACUCAAAUUUGGAUUAUAAAAGAAAUGUAACAAAUAAAAAAGUAAUUUUUUUUCCAUAUGUCAUCACAUGUUUGAGUGAGAUUUAAGUGAAAGUAGUAGAAUCGUACUGACAAACCCACUGUGGUUUUGUAGGCAGCUGGUGUUGUAGCCUUUGUUUGCUAAUAUUUAUCUAAAAUCGUAUGCUGAUCUCAUGGGAUAAAGAGCUCAUAUGGGAACGGUUGGCUCCUCUAAGCUUCACAUCCCAUUGUAUCUGUCCAUAAAUCGCGUCGUCAGUCCACCAUACUCGUUGGCUCUCUCUCUUCCCUUUUUUCCAACCCGUCUUCACUCUGUCGACAUUACUUGUCAUCACCUUUGGAAUUUUCUCGCAACAGCAAUUAAGCACCAUUUAUUUAUAUAUAUUGCUAUCCAUUUGACUGCCUAAGCUCUCUCUUUCUUUGGUGCCCCCGCGAGUCUGAGAGUUAAGGAGAGAAGGGAGAGGGAGAAAGAGGGGAAGAGAAUGGGUGUCUCAGAAGAAGAGAUGCUGGUCCAAAUGGUUCAUGACUUCAUUGAAUCAGAUACAUCAUCCAUGCCCACCUCCAUUCCAUCCUCCUCGCAGGCCAUUUCUCUCCACCACCACACAUACCUCCUUCUGAAGGUUUGUUUAGUAUGGAGCCUUUUAACUUCAACAUCUCUGGAGCCUUUAAUCAAUCUUGUUCAUAUGUCUGCUCUCUCUCUAUGAGAAACUAAGUUUGCUCAUGCACUGGUUUUCUAUCAGCAACACAUAUACUUACAUGCAUCCAAGCGAAUGAUUUGCUUCUUUUGUUGUGGUUUUUUUCUCUUACUUCUUUUGUUUUGUGGGUUGAAGGGGAUGAUUAGGAGUGCUACCGAUGCUGAGAUGGAGGUUUUUGAGAAGGCCUUGAAGUAUGUGAGAGAGAUGGGAGAAGAAAGGAAGAAGAGCUGUGUAAAGAAGAGGCUAAUGAUGAAAUUGAGGAUGGAUGGUUAUCAGGCUUCCCUAUGUAGAUCUUCUUGGGUUACAACCUUGGAGUGUCCUGGAGGUGUUGCUNNNNNNNNNNNNNNNNNNNNNNNNNNNNNNNNNNNNNNNNNNNNNNNNNNNNNNNNNNNNNNNNNNNNNNNNNNNNNNNNNNNNNNNNNNNNNNNNNNNNNNNNNNNNNNNNNNNNNNNNNNNNNNNNNNNNNNNNNNNNNNNNNNNNNNNNNNNNNNNNNNNNNNNNNNNNNNNNNNNNNNNNNNNNNNNNNNNNNNNNNNNNNNNNNNNNNNNNNNNNNNNNNNNNNNNNNNNNNNNNNNNNNNNNNNNNNNNNNNNNNNNNNNNNNNNNNNNNNNNNNNNNNNNNNNNNNNNNNNNNNNNNNNNNNNNNNNNNNNNNNNNNNNNNNNNNNNNNNNNNNNNNNNNNNNNNNNNNNNNNNNNNNNNNNNNNNNNNNNNNNNNNNNNNNNNNNNNNNNNNNNNNNNNNNNNNNNNNNNNNNNNNNNNNNNNNNNNNNNNNNNNNNNNNNNNNNNNNNNNNNNNNNNNNNNNNNNNNNNNNNNNNNNNNNNNNNNNNNNNNNNNNNNNNNNNNNNNNNNNNNNNNNNNNNNNNNNNNNNNNNNNNNNNNNNNNNNNNNNNNNNNNNNNNNNNNNNNNNNNNNNNNNNNNNNNNNNNNNNNNNNNNNNNNNNNNNNNNNNNNNNNNNNNNNNNNNNNNNNNNNNNNNNNNNNNNNNNNNNNNNNNNNNNNNNNNNNNNNNNNNNNNNNNNNNNNNNNNNNNNNNNNNNNNNNNNNNNNNNNNNNNNNNNNNNNNNNNNNNNNNNNNNNNNNNNNNNNNNNNNNNNNNNNNNNNNNNNNNNNNNNNNNNNNNNNNNNNNNNNNNNNNNNNNNNNNNNNNNNNNNNNNNNNNNNNNNNNNNNNNNNNNNNNNNNNNNNNNNNNNNNNNNNNNNNNNNNNNNNNNNNNNNNNNNNNNNNNNNNNNNNNNNNNNNNNNNNNNNNNNNNNNNNNNNNNNNNNNNNNNNNNNNNNNNNNNNGAGAGAGAGAGAGAAAAAGUUAAUGGUGAUGGGCGGAUUGCUACCCACUGUUAAGUUUCAGAAUGUCAUCUUUGGUUUCAUUUCAUAGGAGCAUCUUUUCCUCCAUGGAUUUCUUAGGAUUUUUGAGUCCAUUGGAAGCACCUUUUGUUGACAUGGCUUUUGUGCACUGCAACUAUUGCACCCAAAGUUGAAAGAUCAGAAGAGAGCCUCAGAAGAGUGAGGGAAGGAAGGGAAGAUCAAAGCAUGGUGCUAGUUUGAUACACUGCUUGCAACUUUUGGCUCUAAAACUAACAACAAAUAAUAAGUAAUUAGAGAAGAGAGAGAGAGUGUGUGAGAGAAAGAGGGGGGUGGAAUAAGCAGUAGAGUGUUAUCCUUUAUCUUUUCUUCAAAAUAAUAGUGUGUGUGCAAGAUUUUGCUCACAAUCUGAGUUGUAUCCACAAUCUAUUUAGAACAAACAUAGAUUACUAUUUAUUUAACAUCGGUAUUUAUAUUAUACUCAUGGAAUAAAUAUAGAUAUGGAUUAAAUAUAUCUAUCUUAUCUAUUUUCAGUCCUAGAUAUAUGUAGAAUGCUCAAGUCACAUCUUAAUGAGGAAGAAGAAAUUAAGAAAUGCAACCUUCACUUGAGACACUGGAUUCUACCCAAGGGAGCAGGUAUGUGUGCCCAGCAGACAAUUUGUAUUGUACAAAAGGGAGUUUCUGAUGGAUGUUUUUGGGCCAUCUGAUUCAAAAUUUCUUCUCAAAUUUAUCUAUAAUUUAAACAAUGUUUACUAAAUUUUGGCUCCAUUACUAUAUAAUGAGAGUUUUAAGGCGAGAGAGGGGAAAUGUUCCUGUGAAGUGCAAGAUAGAUCAAGAUAGGUUUAUUCAUUUAAGAGCAGGAUUUCACCCACAUAAGUGCCACAUGCCAUCACCCACAAUUGCCACAAGCCAUGAAAAGAAAUUGGAAUUAUAUGUAGUGGAUGAGGUACCCUAACGGUUGAUGUAGAAUCCUCUGAGUUGGCAUCAAAUAAGAUGUGCUAUGUAUGACACAAUAAGAUUUGAUGGCCAUUUAUCUCUUGAUAGUAGCCAUCGAGUGCUGCACAAUAUUUUGUGGUGCAAACAGUAUAACAUAGAAGAUCCAUAUCAUCACAAGUUUGGAUUCGCACCAUUUUACGGAUAAAGUUCUAUGUAGUGUACCACAUAAAUUUGUAAUUAUUUUCUAUAAUAACUUUUGAGUAACAAGGCGGUAUCUCUCUUUUAACGUUUAGAUUAAUGGCGGGAGCAUGAUGAAUUUGUUUACUUAGAUCACACACCAAGACAGCUGCAUCAUAAAAGUUGAACCGGUAAUCUUGUCUCAAAUAGAGGAUAUAACCUAUUUUUUAUAAAAUCUUAUUUAUUUUUUAUUAUUUAAUCUUGUCUCAAAUAGAGGCUAUAACCUAUUUUUUAUAAAAUCUUAUUUUUUUUAUUAUCUUCUAUUAUUUGAGAAAAAAAAGAUGGUUGGAUGUGUAGACCAAAACUGGAACGAAAGUGGGAUCUAACACUUCUUGUAUCAACACAAGAUUCAGUUGGCAUCCUACAACUUCUAAUGCAAUCAUAUAAGCUAUUUUCUUUUUUCCUGAUCAGAAUUAGCUAUUUUUCUUUAUGGGAGAUAGAACUGUUCUUUUUCUUUUCAAGUUUUUCCUUUUUCUUAAAAUUAUGACCAAAAGAUAGAAACAUUUAGCAUAUUUUAAGAGUAUUAAUUAUUUUUACUUUAAACCUACUGAGUGCUACUUUUAUUCUAAACAAGAUGCACCAUCAUGAAUUAGGGCUUAGUGGUAGCAAUAGUAACAACCUGCUUAGUAACCAGCAAUUUUGGAUUCUGUUUCUGGAUGGUAUAGUGCAACUAUUUCACUCUUUUUUCUUUCAAAAGAACAAGAUGCAUUAUCAUUUAGGAAACCAAGAAGCUCUUGAAAAAGGAGAGUUUACUUUGGUACCCCCCCCACCCUCCUUCUCUCUGUGCAUUUACUACAAGAAUUUGUCUAUUUAGCUACAAAAAGUUUGUGUUGCUAAAUAUACAUAUACAUAUACAUGUACAUGUACAUGCAUUGACAAUAUUGAAGUUUGUUAUUUAACCAUUUUGAGGCACGCCUUUUAUUUCUUUUACUCCUUCGCUACUUCAUGGUUCCAUUAUCCAUCAAAAGUUUUUGUUUUUCAAUUUUAUACAUCCAAGGCUUCCAUUAUUCAAUUUUUCCAACGCAUUCGAUAAUGCAAAAGAGUGUUCUAUUAAGUGUAGAAUAUUUUUUUUCUUGCCAAGUGCUUGAUUAAUAAGGUAUUAGAACUAAGGUUGUCGACUGUCGUGUUUAUCUCCAUCUAGUUAAUUAAUCUGAAUGUGAUGAAAUAUUGUGUGAUUAAACAGUGGCUCAGCAUCAUUUUUUUUCCUAUUGGGGAAUGCAUGUUGGCAGGCCGGGAUGAGCAACAACUUAUCCAUUUGACCACAUCUGCAUUAGUCCUUGAGCUUGGCCCAGAUUAACAUGCAAAUACUUAUGGGCUGGGCUUGGGAUGAGGGAAUUGAACAAUGAUGACCUGAAGGCCCUGAUGACUCGGCUUUAUCAUUGUAAAUGUUGGCCCACGAGCCAGCCUUUUUUUACUUUUGUUGAGGAAAUGUUGCAACAUUCAGGUACAUCAAUGUUCACAGGUGUGGUCAAAUUCUAUCAAUAUUUAGCAACGAAAGGUUCUAAUUUGAGUCUUGAUGGUACAUCUCUAAGAAUUUGAACCUAGAUAGUUAUAAUGCAGAUGGGUUUCCCUUCCAUUCUCCCUGAAAAAAAGAAAUGCUAUCUAUAUUUGGCUUGUCAUUGUACGAGUAAUGCUUGUUACAACCAUGAAAUAUUAUGCACAGCAUGGAUGUGUGUCAUAGGCAGGCCAUGGAGCCAGGUUAUCGAGUUUGAAACUUGUGGCCCAUGUUAAUGGCCAGUUUCAAGUUAGGGUUCGGGUUCGGGUAGCAUCUUUAGCUCGGAAGAAUAAUUGAUCUUUUUUUUCACAUCAUCGACCGUUGGAUCACAUCCUGCAUAGAUCUCAAAGCAUUUUAUUUUUUUAUUCGCCACCUGUAUGGAUCUCAAAGUAGCCAUUGUGCGAUCCGAAGGUGGAUUUGCUGGAAGGAAAGGGAAUCUUUCUUUAACUAGGUUGGCACGAAUGGUACAACCCGAUCCUUCAAGUUGGGCUGUAUUUCUUUUAUAAGCCGAACAAGUGCCAACUAGUUAAAGGUUUCACCAACUUGGCUAUAAAGAAGGCUAAGCGGAACUUGGAGUCCAAUGAUCAGAUUGUUUUAUGGUUCUGAUGCCCAGAACAAAAUCUAUGUACGCUUGAAGAACAUGUAAUUGAUUCCGUUUAAAUAAUUCUCAUCAUCUGUGAUACUUAGUAUCUGGCCUGGAGUAUUUGUCCCAAAGGAGUUGGCCCAACAAAAGAAAAAUUGAUGCACGUGCGAGGAGGGAAGAGGACUCCUGAUGGGAGUCUUCUUCCUCUUGAGUUCGUCAAACGGAAUCCUCCCGAUCCUUCCUUUCACCUCUACCAGAGAACUGAUCCCAAUCGGAGAUUAGUCGCUGGAGUCUUCUUCGAUUUCUUCCGCAAUCAUCGAUUGUGUCCGCACCGUCACCGCGGCCAAACGCCACCGAAAGCUACGUAAAAACCUGAAAAUAUUUGGAUAACUCUUCUCUCCCUCUAAUAUGACCUUUUGAAGCUCGAUUCCGGCCGAUGAUCACCAGACUUUUGGCAGAGAAGGGUGAUGCCCUAUUUCUCCUGUUCUGAUCGACCGACCCCUAUUUCUUCUCGAUUCCAAUUGUUCCUGCCAUCGGUGCUCGUCGCCGAGGUCUACCUCCAGUCCUUCAUGGUGACCGGAAGCUGUGGCCAGAGCUGCAGCCACCGGGAUGCAUUAGAUCCAUGGUUUAAGGGGUUGAAACCCCUAUUUUUUUUGAUGAGUUUGGCGCUACCGGCCACCGCCAGCUGCCUAUUGGCCAAUCGUGGGUCUCCUAACCCUGAGCACUACGCAACCACCCUCUUCCUUCCUUUCCUUGGUUAGAGAGAGAAGCUUGCUUCCUUUCUCUUUUUUCUCUCUUCUCCAUCCCUUCUCUCUUAUUUCUCUCUCUAUUUGGACUUUUUCUCUCUACUCUCUCUCUAGGACUGUUGGAUAAGGAUGUCUCCCAAUGACUUUUGGAUUGGCUCUGGUGAAGGGUCCUAAUCUAGGACGUCGGAUUGGCUCUACCAGUAGGAGUUAUAAGUUGGCAUAUUGAUACCCUGCUAGUGGAGUUAUACGUUGGCACUUUGAUGAGCUUAUAUUUUGGCCCAGCCAUAGGGUAUAAAUGUGGACAUAGUUUAUGGCUAUCGAAAUGAAUUUGAUAUUUUUGAAACAAAUUAAUUUAUAAAUGAAGGAUUUUAAAAUAACUAGAUAGUAUAUAGGUUUAGUUUUGUAUUGAUGUACUUUGCAUGCUUAAUUUUAGCAUAUUAUUAAUAUUUAAUUUAUUAUCUGAUUAAUCUAGUUAAAGUGUUCAUUGUUUACUAGGCUGUCUAGCUCAUUACAUGAUUUCCACAAGCUGCAGAAUAAAUUAAUUUAUAAUAUCACGAAGAGAUUUCUUGCAUACUUGUGGAAGAAGUUUUCUAUGAGUAUGCCGUGACUCUCAGCUCGCGAUUUCGAGUCAGGGGUUUGACAUCAUCAUAAUUUUUUUUAGAAAAAAAGCUCCCUCCAAAUAAAUGUUCCUAGAUUUAGUGGUUUCUUAGUUUAAAUAGCAGUGGGAGCAUUACUCUUGCUCGUUGGCCCUUCUUUAACUCAUGGCAACUUGCCCUAAGAAUGGGCUAAACCCAGUCUUUGUAACCGGACUUUGGGCCAACUUCACCAUUUCAAUACCAUGUUUUUAACCAUAAAAUAUGGUUUUUAUGUAAAUUAAUUUAUAAAAAAAAAACAAGGUGGGAAUUGUUCGUACUAAUGAGUUCGUUUACAAGUUUUAUGGAAGGCAAGCAAACACAUGGUUUGAUAUGACACAAAUAUUUUAUGCUUUGUGUGAAAAUGUUCUACCAAAACUAGAGAACUAAACAGCCCUCACUGAUUAAUGUACGGAAUUGCUAUUUAUGCUUUGAAUAUUUGUCAGUUUUAUUAUAACAGGUAACCAAGAAAUAUGGUUUUUAUGUAACUUAGUUUUAUAAAAGGACAAGGAGAAAGUUGUUUUUCAUAAAGCUUGUUCUUCUAAAGUUUUAUGGACGGCAAGCAAACAUAUGUUCUCGUACCAUUCCAAUAUUUUUUUUGUUUUGUGUAAAAAUGUUUUUCUAAAUAAAAUAAUUAUUAUCAUAACCACUUUUAGCCAUUAUAAUGGAAUAUAUAUAUAAUAUGUUAAAAAUAAAAUAAUGUUAUUGCUUAAUUUUGUUGCUAUUAUGUAAUGGGAUAUUACUAGUUGAAUGGUUGUAGAAAUUUAAAUAAGAUUUUUUUUUGUAGAUAAAAGAAAAAUGAAAAGGCCAACUAAUAGCUGUUAAUGCCAUUAUUUAUGACAAUUACAAGUUGACAAUAGCUAUAUAAUUUUUUCCAAUUAAUCACUAACUGUAUUUGUUAAUUGUGUGUGUGUCUAUAUAUGUGUGUGUGUGUAUAUAUAUAUGUAUGUGUGUAUAUAUAUGAAAGUAUCAGGGUGUAAGAUCAUUUUCGACUUUCAAUGUUUCAUGUAAUAUUUAAAGAUGAAGCUCGAAUUUAUUAUUUCACUUUUUCUUUUUCAGUUCCAUGAUUAAUGAUAUUUCCAUGAACAAAGCACAUGUGCAGCAAGUGAUAACUACUAGUAUAUGCAGUGUAAUGGCAUUAUUCAGAUGGCAUUUACCCAACUAGGCUUCUAUAAUUCUUGGCAAAUUAAGCUUGUUUAAUUCUUUGCAAAUUAAGCUGGUUUAAUUCUUCUAUAACUACUGAAGCCCUUGCAUGAUGGGCCAGCCGAGAAGUACAACAUUGGUACAUUUUUUGAGACCUAGUGCAAGAUCAAUAUCUUUAGCAUAUUAAAACAGAUGUUCAGCUAGCCAUUAUAAUUACUGCAUGCCUUAUUUGAUUUCUUAAGGCAAACCUCAAAUACUACCCACCAUUAGUGUAAUUUGCUCUGAUGCUAAUAAGUUGAUAUAUUACAUCAAUAUAUAUGCCAUACUAACAAAUUCCUUCAAUCAUGUGUGAGGACCCGUGCAGGCGUGUGUUUAGUCCCACAUCGGUUAGUUNNNNNNNNNNNNNNNNNNNNNNNNNNNNNNNNNNNNNNNNNNNNNNNNNNNNNNNNNNNNNNNNNNNNNNNNNNNNNNNNNNNNNNNNNNNNNNNNNNNNNNNNNNNNNNNNNNNNNNNNNNNNNNNNNNNNNNNNNNNNNNNNNNNNNNNNNNNNNNNNNNNNNNNNNNNNNNNNNNNNNNNNNNNNNNNNNNNNNNNNNNNNNNNNNNNNNNNNNNNNNNNNNNNNNNNNNNNNNNNNNNNNNNNNNNNNNNNNNNNNNNNNNNNNNNNNNNNNNNNNNNNNNNNNNNNNNNNNNNNNNNNNNNNNNNNNNNNNNNNNNNNNNNNNNNNNNNNNNNNNNNNNNNNNNNNNNNNNNNNNNNNNNNNNNNNNNNNNNNNNNNNNNNNNNNNNNNNNNNNNNNNNNNNNNNNNNNNNNNNNNNNNNNNNNNNNNNNNNNNNNNNNNNNNNNNNNNNNNNNNNNNNNNNNNNNNNNNNNNNNNNNNNNNNNNNNNNNNNNNNNNNNNNNNNNNNNNNNNNNNNNNNNNNNNNNNNNNNNNNNNNNNNNNNNNNNNNNNNNNNNNNNNNNNNNNNNNNNNNNNNNNNNNNNNNNNNNNNNNNNNNNNNNNNNNNNNNNNNNNNNNNNNNNNNNNNNNNNNNNNNNNNNNNNNNNNNNNNNNNNNNNNNNNNNNNNNNNNNNNNNNNNNNNNNNNNNNNNNNNNNNNNNNNNNNNNNNNNNNNNNNNNNNNNNNNNNNNNNNNNNNNNNNNNNNNNNNNNNNNNNNNNNNNNNNNNNNNNNNNNNNNNNNNNNNNNNNNNNNNNNNNNNNNNNNNNNNNNNNNNNNNNNNNNNNNNNNNNNNNNNNNNNNNNNNNNNNNNNNNNNNNNNNNNNNNNNNNNNNNNNNNNNNNNNNNNNNNNNNNNNNNNNNNNNNNNNNNNNNNNNNNNNNNNNNNNNNNNNNNNNNNNNNNNNNNNNNNNNNNNNNNNNNNNNNNNNNNNNNNNNNNNNNNNNNNNNNNNNNNNNNNNNNNNNNNNNNNNNNNNNNNNNNNNNNNNNNNNNNNNNNNNNNNNNNNNNNNNNNNNNNNNNNNNNNNNNNNNNNNNNNNNNNNNNNNNNNNNNNNNNNNNNNNNNNNNNNNNNNNNNNNNNNNNNNNNNNNNNNNNNNNNNGAGCACAUGCACACCCCCCCCCCCCACCCCCACACACGCACGCGCACGCGCACGCACAUGCGUGCGUGCGUGUGUGUGUGUGUGUGUGUGUGUGUAUGUGGGUGUGUGUGUGUGUGUAGAUACAUUAAAAGUAUGUGUGUUAUCUUGUAAGUAUCAGACAAAUCUGGGGUCUAUGGUCAUCCAUUUGCAAUCCACGAGCACCCAGAGACACGUACAGGAUGAGUAGAGCAUUGAUUUUGUGACAAAUCUUGAGAGACGGAUGAACCGCAGAAGGCCAGUUGCCAUGGGGAAUCUAGUGCAGAAAUGCUGAAUUAAGACUUCUCCUUUGUUAAAUAUUGAAUAACCAGAGAGUAAGCUAAUGUGCCUCGAGAGUAAUUAUUAUUUUUAUUAUCUAUAAUGAAGGAAAUAUGGCUAUAUAACGAAAAUGCAUUUAUUUUAAUCCAUAAAAAGUGCAAACAAAGAUAAACUACUGAGAUACAUAUUUUCAGAGCAUUAAAACCCUAGUAUCAUGACACGGAUUUUUUGACGAAACGUAUGCUAUGGAAACCUUAUGGUACUAAAAUCUGACUAAAAAUUCUUUUUUUAAUUAAAAAAAGGACAUUUUGAUAUAUGCAUACGUUUUCGGAGUAUAUUGCUAAUACUAUCCUUAGGUUCAUGUUAUUUUACUUCGAAAAUAAAGGUUGCAUAUAUUCAGUUUAAUUAGGAGAUCACAGCACAUAGUUUUUGAACAUAGCAUAGGCUGAAAUAGUGUUGAAACAAGGGUCCAACUUUCGAGUUCGUCAACAUUUUUGGGGUGAUGCAUUUGCCUUGCUUUCAAUAUAAAUGCCUAACCUUGUUGAGCCCCUAUGUUUCUUCUACCACCCAUCCCUUUCCUCCUAUAUCAGCUUCUUCUGAUUCAAAUGCUCUUAUCUGAUUCCAGGAGACUUUGGCACAGGAGAGAUUCCCAAAUUCGCAUUAUUUUCUACGUGCAACAACUGUAGACAAAGAUAUCCUUGGUGCUUUUAGGCUUGGCUAGAGGAGACGUUACAGAGUUGGUGCAAGGAUUCCAACAUCUAGAUGCAGUCCAAAAUAGUCCCACCUCACCUUCUUCGCAUGCGGGAAUCUUGGGAUGCCACAAGCCAUGGCUUGGUUGGAGAGCACGUCCUUGUUGCAAGCUAAGGCUCGUUUGGCUCGUAGGAAAAAAAAAAAAAGUAGGAAAGACUAUGUGGUCAAUGAUAAAAUAAUGAAUUGGCUUUUAUUUGGUUAGAAUUUUCAAAAGAAAAAGACGAAAAAGUUAUAUUUCUAUAAAAAUAUAAUUUUCACGUUUCAUGAAAAAGUUUUUUCUCAUGAGAAACAUGAAAAAGUUACUUUUUUUUACGCGAAAAUCACUUUAUUUUUAUUUUUUUAAAAAAAUUCUUCAGCAUUAAAAAAUAUUAAAAACCUAAUUUUUAUUAAGGAUAUAAUACGAAUUAUACAUAACUUUUUUAGAAAAUUGGAUUGUCAACCAAACAUAAGCACUCUGAAAAUCUGUCACUUUUUUAUUGUCAACCAAAUAUGUCCAAAAUAUUUUUCCAGAUAUUUUUUUUAAAUUUAUAUUUUAAAAAUUAUAUUUUUAGAAAGAAAAAAAAGCAUCUUACGAACCAAACGAAUCCAAAAUAUUGUUGGAAGUGCUCGCUCUUUACCUCGUUGCAAGAGUAUCUAGGAUUAGUUAAAGCGCAUUGACUUGUCCGGUGCAUUUCGGGAUAUUUUGUUUGCAGAUUCGUCUGAGUAUAUUUGUAUUCGAAUUGUAUGAAAUACCUGCUUUAGCACAAAAAAAAAAAAAGAAAAAAAAAAAUAAGAAGAAGAAAGAAAGAAAAGCGCAUUGGAUUGUAACUGACAAAUCUGAUAUCACCGAGCACCCUAUCAUUUGAAUAUAAUGUGAUAUAAUCUGACACAAGAGUUAAUACUAAUUUCUAUAUGUGGUUUAGGAAUCAAUACGGACGACAAUUUAUGACACGGUCAGUGAUUGACCUACUUUAAAUCAAUUUAGAUGUGACAUAAAUAGGGAUCAUAUUAGCCGAUCUAAAUCUAUUUAUUCAAUAUAUUGGAUUUAGAACUAAACAUUUGCCCCAUUUUAACCUGCUUAAUAAUUAAAUCGAAUUAUAACCUCAUUUAUUUAACUUAUUUAAAAUAUAUUUAAUCUAUUUAAAAUCUACUUAAUUUAUUUAAUUUAUUUAAAUUUAUUUAAUUUGUUAAAAAUUCACCUAAUCUAUUUAAUUUAAUUAAUUUUGUUUGAUUUGUUUAAUAAAAGAGUUAUAAAGAUUGGAUUGGAUUAUCUGUUUAACAGAUAGGUCAUAUUUAAAUAUAAAAUUUUGAUCUAUUUAAUAAAUAAAUUAAAUUAAGGUUAAUAAAUUUUUGAUCCUAUCAACAUCUAACUUGAUUCGUAUUUAAUUCGAUCUGACCGAUUGCCAUCCUUAGGUAGACGUCCUUUGCCUAUCAAUAAAUGUUUAAUGCAAGUGAAAAUAAACAGUUGACAGUCCUAGAAUACAGGCAUAAACAUAAGAAGUAAAUGUCUAGUAAAUAAAAUUCUUUUUUUGGAAAGAAAGAAGGCUUUGCAUAUUAAAAUUGUAAUAAAUUAAGAUAUUUGUGUGUAAUGUAGUUUCAAAUGAAAAUUAAUGUUUAGGAGGUUUAUUUGCGCUAAAACAAAUGCCGAGGACCUUUACGUAAUUCUUUAAUUUUCUUGUCAAUAUGCCUUAUCUUUGUUCACGAAAAAUUUAUAUCAAAGUUUACAGAUGCUAUCUUUGUUUACGAAAAAUUUAUAUCAAAGUUUACGGAUGUUAUAAAUCUAAAUUUAUUUCCAGUGUCGAAUUCAUCAGGUGAUUUUGAAUAUAAUCCGAAGUUAGAUGGGAUGGAGACUUCUACAAUGAAGUUUGGCAAGAACUGUUUGGUGAGAAGACAGGUACAAGUAGCAAUCAAAGAACCAUAUAUGAUCCAAGAUAUUAAGACAUGGCAGAUUAGGUCGUAUAAUAUUGUAAAAUUGUUCGAUAAGGACAUGUUAAUUAUUAGGAAAAUGUUUUUAACGUCAGAUAGGUAGGUACAAACUCUUAGCUGAUAUAAUUUGUUUUCAACAAAUCCGCUCACUUUGAAUGACUGUGUAAUUUCAAUUACGGAGUGAACACUUCAUUUGUUGAAAAUAAUGAAUCGAGUGCAAAGGCACCCUCCUAAUAGCUUACAAGCCUUUGCUAAUGAACAUCGUUUUCUAUGAUUUAUUUAGUUUUUUCCCCUCUUAUUGUCUUUUUUUUGGGUUAACAACUCUUAUUGACUUUUCUGACAAGUUCUAGGAUAAUGAUUGAUUUAGAAUCCAUUUGCCACACAAUUAAUUCUGAUAAACAUGGCUCCACAUGUCAUAUAUAUAUAUAUAUAGUUGUAGAUCUCAAUCCCUCUUGUGCAUCUUCUUACUUGAUUUGCAGUUUUUAGCAUGUAGCCUUUUGACAUAAAGGACUCAUUUGGAUUUCGGGAAAAGAGGAGGGGGAAGGAAGGGAGCAGAGUUAAUGGGAAAAUGGAGAGAUGCCUCAUGUUUUGUUUGAGUUUUCAAAAGAAAGAAAUAGGAAAGUAAUUUUUCUAUGAAAAUAAAAAUUUUCAUAUUUCAUAAAAAAGAAAAACCCAUGUGAGGCAUGAAAAAGUUUAAUUUCCACUGGCUGAAAAUUAGAAUAUUUUUUUCCUAAAAGUACUCUUAAGUUUAGAUAGAAUAAGAUAAGAUUUUUCUCUUUAUUAAAAGUAUAAUAUGCUCUUCAUGCAACUUUUUCAGUAAAGUAGAUGCUCAACCAAAUAUAAGCUACUCUAAAAUACAUUAUUUUUUUUAUCGUCGACAAAAAAUGCAAAAACCAAUUUCUCAGGCAUUAUAUACUCUGACAUCAGUUUUUUAGAAAAAAUAUUCCAGUGAGGAAGAAUUCUUUCUAUGAACCAAACGGGUUCAAAAAAGUUUAAAGCCUCUUGACAUUUAAAAGGAAAUGAUGGUCAAAGCUAAUAUAAAGUCUAUCUUUGCUCGGAUAGGGAUGAAUCCACGGUCCAACUUAAAUUGAAACAAGGGAGUUCAGCCAACGUACAAUGGGAUCUAAAGCUAGAAAUUAAGUUGGCAAUGCAAAGCUGGUCAAGUGCAAAGCAUUCAUAAAACGCAUUUGUAUAUAAUUACAUGAGACCACAAGCAUAGUAGGUGAGAUUAAAGCUAGCCAAACCCGAAUAGAAAACAUAAUGGUUGUAGGGUGGGGGAAGCUCAAAGAGAUCGACCUGUUCCCCGUCCAACCAAAAGAUCACAUAAAGAAUCAUUCACUCCUUUAGGAGCCGUCUUUAUUCUCCAACUUCUUGUGUACUUGGGUUCUCUUUAAUUUCCACAAGCAAGCACAUCCCUCCAUAUAUUUCCAUUAACAAAUCACUUACAGUCAGUACAAAUGUAACUCCAGUUGAUGGAGGCAAAAACAACAAUUAUUAUCAGCCAAAACGAGGAAUCCAUGCUCGCAUGGAGGUGCAGACAAGCCAUGAUUAAUUAAUCUGGAGUUCUGGACUUUCCAAUGGCAAUCAAUGUUCGACAUGGUCAUGGGAUCCCAAGCCAGGCAGCAUGAGAACGAACUUGGCCCACCUAUUUACGUUAGAUGCAUGUAGCUUCCAAAUAACAGAAUGGUUGAAUAUGCACAUAUUAUGAUUUUUCUCAUUGAUAUAUAACAAACAAGGCAUGAUGUGGCAUUUUGGAAAGCAUCACAAAAAAAAAAAUCUUAAAAAAUGUCAUAAAUAAAUGUUAAUAGACAUCUACCAACAUGUAUCAUAAAUGUCACAAGAAGCAGCAUUGUUUUGAUCUUGAUAUUUCUGACAAAUGCCGGUGUCGGUCAUAAGCUAUUGCAUGAUCCGUCAUAAGCUAUUGCAUGGUCCGCCAUAAACUUCGCUAUUCAACUUUAUUCAACUAUAGCUAUGAAAUGAACCUUUUUAAUCUCUAGGUUUAAUGAUAAUUUUGGAUGUCACUUUACUAUUCUAUUGCGAAGUUUAAUAGCCUCAUAGAUGUUGCUAUAGUUACAUUACAAUAUUUGGGCUAUGCUAAAAAACAUAACAAUAACCUUAUAAAUAACAAAUUUUGUGUUCUUAGAUGUUGCUAGAAACCAAGCAAUUUACAGGUCUUAUUUAUGACUGUCAUAUGCAUCAGUUUAGGUGAUAUUGUAAUAUUUUUAUCAUCACUUUAGGGAGUUUUUCUCUCUAUUUACCAUUUAAUCAUGUGCAUAAAUUUGUUUAUAUAGAUGUUAGUAUUUCAAUAUCUACAGGACAAAUAGCUAUUCCAAUACCAUUUUCAUUCAAUACACCAAAUCCACAUCCAAUACAAAUUUUACAUUUAGCAACCAUUCUCACUUUAUAAUGUAUGUGGGUAUGUAUAUGUACGUAUUUAUGUGUAUGUAUGUUUAUAUUUAUGUAUAUGUUUGUAUAUAAUCAUCGAUCAAAAACUAACCUCAAACAUGUCAUAGAAAUUAAGACAUGAGGAAAUUUGUUACAUGUGUCAUGCAUGCCAAGUCAUAGCCAUAUUUGGUGAACAACUAUUGCAAUCAAAUAAUGUUGCAAAUUUUUAGUUAUUAUUCUUCUUUUAUGAUAUAUUAUGAGUAACAAUAAUCAUCGUAAAGCAAUAAUAAAAUUAUAGAAAUUUAAUUUUUCAAACAUGUUAGCUUAUUGAUAGUGUGCUAUAAUUUCGCUGCAAGAAACUUUCUCUAAGGGCUCGUUUGGUUCGCGGGAAGUAUUUUUCCUCCUAGGAAUAUGAUUCCUGAGAAUCAUAUUUCCAAAGUACUUUUGGCAUGUUUGGUUAACCAUGGGAAAGUGACAAAUUUCCAAAGUGUUUAUGUUUGGUUGACCAUCCACUUUCCUAGGAAAGUUAUGUAUAAUUCCUAUUAUGCCCUUAAUAAAAAAUAGAUUUUUAAUGCCUCUUUAAUGCUUUUUUAAUGCUGAAGGGUCUUUUUGGGAAAAAAUAAAAAAAGAGUGAUUCCCACCUCAUGGGAAAGUAACUUUCCCAUGUUUCUCAUGGGAAAGACUUUCCCAUGAAAUGUGGGAAUCAUAUUCCCAUGGGAAUACAACUUUUCUAUCUCUCUCCUUUGAAAACUCCAACCAAACAAGAGGCAUUUCAUUACUUUCCCGUUGACCACACUUUCCUCCCUCCUUUUUCUGCGAAAGAAACUCUCUCUAACGGCACAAGGGCUCUUUGAGGUCCACAUCAGACAAAUGGAGCCUUCCAACAUUUAAUAGGCAUUCAUGAGAUACUCUAUUAAUCGGACAGGACAGUUAAUAUUCUAGCGGCCACAACAAAACGCUUAAAACAUGAGCAGUGUCGUGGGCAACCAGGCUAUCAGUUUUUCUUCUUUGUUUUGUAGCUGGCAUUCCAUGGGGCAGAAUAGAUUGAUGCAGACUCAGAUGUUGCAGUGCACCAACCUCUUCUCCUCGCCACUUAUGGCAUGCCAACCAUGAAGAAAAAGUUUCAGAUAAUAGGCCGGGACCUCCAGUCAUUUCUUUUAACACUAAGGUGAGCAAACAAAAAUGAUAUGGGGCAAGUGUAAGAGAAAAAUAUAUGGAACAGGUUUCUAUUUUACUGCGUUUUCUCUAGUAGAAAUCUAAAAAUUAUACUCUUUCUACAAAAGGAGUUGUUAGUCCCGUGAUUAAAAAAAAAACAAGCUAAAAAAAGAAAGAAAUGCACACGUAGCAACCUCUUUCUUUCUUGUUUCUAAAAUAUACUUUUUACUGGUACAUACUAUUUGACCAAGUAAUAUACAAAGUAAAUUAGUCCCUUAGGAAGCCAAUACGCAUAUCUGGUAAAUCGAUACACAAUAUCUAAAAUAUAAUAUUCACUAGCAUAUAGUAUACGACUAGGUGUUAUACAUUUAGCAAAUUAGUUAUGUAGUAAUCUAUUAUAUACCUCCAAGCAAAUUGAAACACAGUUUUCAAAAUAUCAUGUUCACCAUUACACACUACAUGGAUGGUGAUGCAUGCUCGUUAAUUUUUUAAUAUUUACUACAAGCUUAUUUGAUAUAUACCCGACAGUAAUUCAAUACAUACAUUUAGGUAAAUCGAUACAUAAUUUUUCAGAAUAUAAUGUUCAUCAGUACUGAUACACAGUUUCUAAAAUUUUUUAAUAUAAAAAAUUAUGUAUAUAAUAUUUCUUAUAUUUUAUUAACUCUUAGGUGUAUAGAUCCUAGAAAAAAGAGAGAGAUUUGGAAGGGAAAAAAGGGACUCAGAAGGAGAGGAAAGACUUCAAGGAUGGGAUAGAUGGCUUGAUAAGAAAGAGAAUAGAUUGAAAGAUAUGACGUAGAAAAAAAAGGAUGCAGAUAGUCUCUCUUCGUAGACGAUCUCCCUUAGCGCAUGCAAUUUUUUAUUUUUUAUUUUUUUUAAGUUAAGGGAUUAACGGACUCUAUCAGUAGGAGGAGUUAUAUCCCUAUUUGACAUUUGGGUUUCUUCUUUAAGAUUAGCACUAGAAGAAACAUGGCUAAAUAGAAAUCCCGCCCCAUAUGAUAUUUUAUAAUGCCCACCUAUAUGAUCUUUAUUCAUGGUGAGUGGGACUUGUAAGAACAAAAAUCAUAUGGGGCGAGCGCCAAAGAAUGAAUUAUGAGGCAUGCUUCCUAUUUUGCCAUGUUUCUCUAGUGCCCAUCUCAAAGUAGAAGCCCAAAAGCCAGAAACUUCUCUUACCAAAGGAGUCAACGAUCAUGUGAUUACAAAAAAAAAAAAAAACAUGUGGCAUCUUCUUUCUUUCUCAUUUUCAAAACAUGCUUUCUAUCGGUAUAUACUAUAUGACCAGAUGAUACACACCGAGCAAAUUAGUCAUCUAGCAAGCCAAUACAUGCCUCUAGGUAAAUCGGUAUAUAGUUUCUAAAAUAUGGUGUUCACCAAUAUAUAGUACAUGGUUAUAUGAUACAUAGCUAGCAAAUUAGUUAUCUAACAACCGAAUAUACAUAUCUAAGCAAAUUGAUACACAGUCUCUAUAACAUCAUGUUCACUAGUACACACUACAUGGUCAGGUGAUAUAUACUAUAUGGUAGGAAUAUACACAACAAGGUCGGGUGAUACACACUCCUUGACUUUUUGAUAUGUAUUACAAAUUUCUUUGAUACACACCCAGCAUUGAUCCAAUAUACAUCUCCAAGUAAGUCGAUACAUAAUUUUCAAAAUAUGUUUUUUACCAGUACACACUACUUGCCUAGGUAAUGCACAUCGAGCAAAUUAAGUUAUCCAGCAAGCCAAUCCAAUACACAUCUCUAGAUAAAUUGAUGCAUAAUUUUUAAAAUAUAAUAUUUAUCUGUGCCAGUACUUUCUAACUUUGUCUAGUAUAAGAAAUUAUAUACAUAUUAUUCUUUAAAUUUUAUUAAUUCUUAAGUGAAAAGAUUUUGGAAAAAAGAAAAGGUAAUUUGGAGGAGGAGAAAGAGACUUGGUAAGGAGAAAAAAAUAUCUUACAGAUGUGAGAGAUGGUUUGAUGACAAAAAAUAUUCGGUAGAGAAAUUUGACGAGGAAGAAAAAGAAUGAGACGACGAGGAAGAAAAAUGGCAUCUGCAAUCUUUUUUAUUUUUUUAAUUAUGAAGUGACACUCCGUUGAUAGCAGAAGACCCGGUCAGCCGCCCGCCCCAUAUGACUUCUUCUCGGAUCCAAAUCCAAACACCAGAUCAUUAUCCCCCCUCCUCCCACUUAAUUAGAAACACCAAGGAGCGACCUGUGAUUUGGUGGCAUUUAAUGUAGACUUAGCCUCAUUGUUUUUAAAAUUCAUAUAUUUAACCUUUCUCCUAUAUCCUUAAUCAUCGGAUAUUAUGACUUUAUUAAUUACUUUCCACCUUUUCUUUUCCUCGCCACAGUUUCCCUCCAACCUGGUACUCGGCUCCAAUUCCGCUGAUAUAAACAUUCCACCGCCUCAGUUUCUAACAAAGACGGGUAGCGAUCCAAAGAACCAAAUCCACCACUUGGGUAAAAAUUCACCAUUUCUCUCUUUCUCGACCUCUUCUUCUGUCUUUCUUCUCAAAAUCGGUUUUUGCAUUGAUUUCUGUGGGUUUUCCGGGCUGUUUGGAUUCCUUCUGCCGUGCAAGUUUUGCUUCCUUUCUACUAGCAUUAACUGUUCUGAGGUUUCUUAAUGUUUUUGGGGGAUUUUUCUAGGUUUUUUAAUCUUUAAAUUGGUGAUGUUUUCUUCUUCUUCUUCUAUUUUUUUUAACCAGAUUUUGUUGACCAUUUCUCCAUUGAUCUCAGCCCAUGUCUAUGUCUUGCACUUUGACGUGGUUUUCCGGUGUAAUCUGUAUCUGCGGUAAACUCUUAUUAUUUCUUGCGGAUUCUUGUUUCAACCGAGCAGUUCUCUUCUUUAAAUUAGUAAUAGGAUCUUUAUUUGAUCUGUGAAUUAUUUGUCUAUGGCUGUGUGUAUUCUCACAUGAGCAUGGAUUCUUGUGUGGAUUGGAGAUCAGAUGAGGACAUCCCCUGCUGCGGCCUGAUCGGCGAGAGAAGACGUAGGGGUUGGUAACUUGGAAGCCCGGCACCGGACGGCUGGAACUAAGUGAGUUUCUCGGUUCUGUACUUCUUCUGCCGCCUCUUCUCUGUUUGUGGUUGCCCUGUCGUUCUUUUGCUGUCUAUUGUUUCGUUCUUCUUACUGCUCUGCACUGAGAUUUAGUUCCAUCCGUUUUCUUUUCCUUUUUCUCAAUUGUUUCCGAUAUUUCUGCUAUAUCUGGUAUUGUUCAGCAUAAUUCUUCUGAAUCUUUGGGAAAGGGAGAACCUUUUUACGGAUUUAUGUGAAGGACAGGUUAAAAUUCUUCUUCUAGCUCAUAUUUAGAUGCUAGGUCAGUUGCUGCCGCAGAAAUAAUGAUACUCUGAUUAUUUUUUUUUUGGAAUAGCCAACUUGGUGUUUGGUUGCAAGAUGAAAUUUCACCAACUUCCUUUGCAAAUUUCUACUUUGAGGAGGAAUUGCUAGUUCUUGAUGUUGCCAAAGGCCCAUUAAAAAUCACCAAUUUUCAACUUUUGGGAUAAGAAAAUGGAUUACAUCAUCAUUUUGAGAUUUAACACAUCCAAGCAGAGCCUAAUACUUUUUUUUUUAAUAUAUUAUGCGUAAGUUGAGCUCAAUUACACCUUGCUGCUUAGUUUGUGAUUAUAUUGCUUUUGAUGCUUUAUUAGUUCAGAGUUCAGACAAUUGAAUUUGGUGCAUUUGUUGUUCAAAUUACGCCUCUUGUUUCUCUUGAGAAACCCAAUACCAAUGGAGCAAAAAUCUCAAACAUGUUGGCAGUGAGGUUCUCUGAUUUUUUUUUUUUGGUUCUAAAUAGCUUUUCAUUCAUAUAGCUCGAGCGUGAGUACAAUCUGCCAAAUCAGGUGAAAGUAAACAGUACAGAGGGUGUGGAAUAUUAGCUUAGCUUGUCCAAAUGACCUCUCCGGAGUAUCAGACGGCAUAAGAGGCGACCCAGUCUGCUGCACUAUUCGCCUCUCGAUACACAUGAGCUAUCCGGAGGGAGGUCAACUCCCUUAGCAAUGUGCGGGUAUCUCGUAUCAAUGGAUGGACAUCCUCGUACCUAUCCGCUCCCCUAAUCUAGUCAAUCACCGUGGAGGAAUCGCCCUCAAAAAAUAAGCUAUUAACCCCCAAUACCCGUCUCCCAUGCUGCCCGGAGUUCCACUCCCACUGUGGUCAGACUAGGUGUGCUCCGCCUUCCAGCUGCUAUGAAUCUGCCCCUAUGGUCCCUGAUCACAAAACCCACUCCCCCAGAGGCGCCAUCCCCCGCCAUGCCUCCAUCGAAAUUCACCUUAAGAUAACCAGGGGGUGAGGGUACUCAAGAGAAGUAGAUAAACUUGGACGCUGAGACAACGGAGCAGGUGCCCCAAACUAGUAACCUCCGCUGCACGCCGCAUGGCUUUGUCCAUUACAACCCGUGGGGACGAUCUCCUGCCCUCAAACAGACGGUUGUUCCUGUCCAACCAGAUAUGAUAGGCCAAGUAAGCAGCCACGGUCCCCAUCUCUGCAGUACUCGGUCUCCAGAGGGAUUCUCUCAGAUACCGAAGCAUAUCCUCCACCGACUCUCACAUCGAAUGGACUGGCACAGGUGAACAUCUCCAUAUCUGCACGACUGUAGAGCACCAAAGAAGUACGUGACUGAUGAUCUUCUCAACCUCCAGAUAUAUCUCACACAACGAGCUCAUCCGCAUCUCCCAUCAAGCAAGCAUAUUUCUGGUAGGUAGGCAGCCCCAAGCCACCUUCUAAAAAAAGAGCGUCAACCGGGGAUGCACCCUCAUCCUCCAGAUCCAUCCUCUGUCAAUCUGCCUUUCUGGCUCCCUACUAGUCCAUGUAAGAAGAUCACUGAUGCGCACCCUCGUUUGGACCUCCGAUAUUUUCUGAUGUUGUCUAAUAGUCCCUAAUAUGGUAUAUCGGCCGAAAAUCUCUCCGAUAAAAUCUUCUCUGAUAUUCUUUAAUAAUUUCUUGCCCCAUUCCUCCAAGGGGCAUUGGCCCAUUCCUACCCAAAGCGGGAAACGGGGGCGCCUGCGCUUGUUUCUCUCUAUCGCGCAACUUGUGGAUUAGAACGAAGGGGAGGGGGCGUGCGCUAUUAAAAAAAGAAGACCAGUGCUUACCUCGUUUCCUCCUCACGUAUGCACCAUGCCUCUCUCGCCCGUCUCCUGCACUGCUUUCUGUGCGACGCUCGUUCUCGCCAGUGCCUUCCUCAAGCACACGUCAGUGCUCCUCCUUACUCUACAGUCCUUUCCUCCACCACUAGCAUGCUCUUUAUCACCUCCCGUUCUCCUCCUUCUCCUCCAUCGUCUUUUCCUUCCUCCUCUUAAUCUCUCUCUCUCGCUUCUAGUCUCCCUUCCCCUCCCUGUGUGUGUGGGGGGAAUCGGUGAGAGGGCACUGUGCCCUCUUCCACCAUCUCUCAUCUCUCUUCUUCCUAUUUCUCUUCCAGCCACCUAUGCGUGUGUGCGCGUUAGCAGGCGAAAGGCAGCUGUCCUCUCUUGUCCACGCCUCACUCUCUCUCCGUCUUUCAGUUCUCUCCUAUCUCUGAGCUAAGCCGUAGAAGGGUUUCACUGUGUCGCCUCCUCUCUUCCGUCCUAUGACAAGAAAUAGAGCAAGGUAGGUUAGUGGCCGUCUCCUCUAUUACAAUGAUAGGUUUAAAAAUCAGGAUUUUGAAAUUUUUCAAGAAUUUUUAGAAAUUAUGUUAAAGCAUUUGCGUACCACCGAUUCAAUACAUGUAUGUGAUUUAGAUUAUUAGGUCCCAAGGAGCUUCAGUCAGAUUAUUUGGAUUUUGAUAUCUGUGUUUUCUAAGAGUUUUUGAAAAAUUAUAGUUUAUAUCAUUUGAUAAAAGAGUUUUUUAUAAUUUCUGCUUCUAUUUGAUUAAAUCGUUAAGCAUAUUAUGUUCAAUCUUGGAAAACAAUAUAAGAAUAAAAUAUAUAUUUUGAUAUUCUCAUAAUAAGUUAUUUUGGACAUGACGGAUUUAGAAAAUUUGGCUGAAUAUUUGUGAAAAUAAUUUUAUAUUUAUAUAUUCAGUAUCGCUAUGAUCUGAUCUAGCCCCAUCAAUGGAGGUUAUUAUAGAUUUAGUUUUCUCAUGGCUUAAGUUUAGUCAAGACUAUGUUUUGACUAAGGAUCGUCAAGGAUUCAACGCAAAGGUUGAGAGUUGGUUAGAAAUUGGGCCAUGAAAUAUCUUUGUUGGCUAUAUCUUGUUGAUAACUUUAUGUUAUUUUGUCUGAAUAUUUAUUGUGAUAUUUGUUUUAUGUUCAACGAAAUCAGAGUUCCACAGCAAAAGCACAGUGAGUUAAAGAAUGGUAAGGUUUAGAACCUGAUUUACAAAAUAAACGCUCCGAGAGAUAAACUAUCUGAGAGCUCCAUGAUGAGACGACAAUAAUAAGUGUCCUCGAAGUUCCGUAAGUUUAGAUUCGUAAAUUUUGGAGGAUGAAAUUUUUAAGGGAGCUAGGAUGGCCCCCUCUACAGCGGGUGGUACCUUGGUCCUUUCCAAAUCGGGAAGCAGGAGAGACAUGCCCCUGUUUCUCUCUACGCAUGCUUGCGAAUUAGAACGAAGGGGAGCGAGCGUUUGCUCCGUUAAAAAGGGAGCAGCCCCUACCCCAUUUCCUUCUCGCUUAACGCACCACGCCUCUCUCGCCUGUCUCCUCCACCGCUUCCCGUGCCAUGCUCUCUCUCCCCUGUUCCUUGCUGAAGCACGCGAACGAGAUUCUCCCCGCCCUACAGUCAUGUCCUCUGCCCCUAGCAUGCUCUUUUCCUCCUCCUCAUGUUCUCUUCCUUCUUCUCCACCAUCUCUUCCUUCCUUCUCUUCAUCUCUCUCUCUCUCUCUCUCUCGCCUCUAGCCUCCCUUCUCCUCCGUGUUUGUGUAUAACAGUGAGAGGGUACCGUUCCCUCUUCCACCGUCUCUCAUCUUUUUUAAUUCUUCCUAUUUCUCUCCCACCACUCUCUGUGUGUGCGUGUGUUAGUAGGCGAAGGGAAGCUAUGCCUUCCAUUUUUCAUGCCUCACUCUCUCUCCUAUCUCUAAGCUAAGUCCCAGGAGGGUUUCACUAUGUCGCCUCCUCUCUUCUAUCCUAUGACAGGAAAAGGAGCAAGGUUAGCGGCCGGUUCCUCUGUUAUAAUGGUAGCUGGUUUGGAAAUCAGGAUUUUAGAUAUUAAUGUGCGCUGAUUCAAUAUGUGUGCGAUUUUGGAUUAUUAAGUCUUGAAAAGCUCCAGUGAGAUGAUUAGAUUAUCUAGAUUUUUUCUGAGAGGUGUGUUUUCUAAGAGAUCGUGGAAAAUUAUAGUUUAUAUCAUUUGAUAAAAUAGUUUUUAUGAUUUUUGCUUCUGUUUGAUUAAAUAGUGAAGCAUGUUAUGUUUUAUCUUUAAAAAUAAUAUAAGAAUAAAAUAUAUAUUUUGAUAUUUUCGUAAAUAAAAUAUUUUGAACAUAUGAUCAAUUUUGAGUAAUGGUUUGAAAAUUUUGACUGGAUAAUUUGUGAAAAUAUUUUUAUAUCUAUAUAUUUAGUAUGACUAUGAUCUGAUCUAGUUCGGCCACUGAGAAUUGUAUAUUGGCAUUAUCGACUUGUAAUAUGGGAAACUAGUUUCGAUACUGCACCACUGGCGAUUAGAAUAAUAGUAUUUGGGCACCAUUAUUUGUUCUUUAAUAUUUGUUAUAUGUAGAAAAGUAAACUGCUGGUUUAAGAAAGGCUCGCACACAUUUUUAUUGAUGUACAUAAUGUAUAUAUACAAAGAAUACAGGUUGGUGCAUCCUAAAAUUAAGCUAAGCUAUAAUAGCAGAUCUUCUAUAUAAGGAAUGUAAUUCCUAGAAUAGUGCUACGCUAUAACAACUUUGUGACAGCAUAUCUUUUAUAUAAAGUAAAGAAUAAGCCAACUAAGGAAAUGUUUGAAUCUCGUUACAGUUGCCGCUAUAACAGUAGAUCUUCUAAGGAAUGUAGUUUCUAGAAUAAUGCUGCGCUAUAACAACUUUGUAACAGCACAUCUUUUAUAUAAGAUAAACAAUAAAUCAGCCAAGGAAAUGCUUGAAUCUCGCUGCAGUUGCCAUUCGCGGAGGAGCUGAUUGCGGUGGAUUGGUAACUGUCCGUAUAUUAUGUAACCCAUGCUAUUGGAUUAUGUGAAAAUAACCAAAUAUUGAUUUAGUAUUAUUCGUAAAAAGUAUACUUUCGAAAAGAAAAAUGAGUAAUAUUCUCUGAAAUUUGAAAUUUAGCCUAGCCAAUGAUAUGUUAUUGUGUUUGAUUUGUUAUCUUAUAGCAUGCUCUAACCCACUUUGAGGUAUUAUGUUGUUUACUGGGCUAGUGUAGCUUCUUCUUCUUCUUUUUCUCUAUUUUCAAAUUCUAAGCUAUGAUUGGCUGUGGAACUGAGGGAGAGUGCACUAGAUGGUUUGGAGCAUCUAGUAGAUCUAAAUUCUCAAGGAUCAAGGUUAUCCUGUUAUUGGUUUAAAAUUAUUAUGCAAUGCUUAGAUUUAUUGUUCAGAUAGCCUUGCAUGUUUGUGUGGUUCGCCUUGCAGGCAUGCGACAUCUGUUACGUGCUCGAUUCAGAGCGUGACAGUGAUCGUUGUAGGCAUCAGUCUGGGUACAUGGAAUCUUUGUUUGAUCUGCCAAUUAUUUGUCUAUGGCUGUGUACAUUCUCACUUGAGCAUGUAUUUUUGUGCGGAUCAGUGAUCAUAUGAGGACUUUCCCUGCUGCGGCCUGAUCAGUAAGAGGAGGUUUAUGGAUGCGUCACCUGGAAACUUGGAAGCCCUGCACAUGUCGGUUGAAACUAAGUGAGUUUCUUGGUUCCCUGCUUAUUUUGCUGCCUCUUCUCUGUUUGUAGCUGCCCUGUCAUUCUUCUGGUGUUGAAGCCACUACAUUUAGUUAUUGUUUCUUUCUUCUUANNNNNNNNNNNNNNNNNNNNCUUUCUUCUUACUGGUCUGCACUGAUAUUUAGUUCCAUCUUUUUUUUCCCUUUUGCUCAAUUAUUUCCAAUAUUUUCAUUAUUUCUGGUAUUAUUCAACAUAACCCUUCUGAAUCUCAGGAAAGGAAGAACCUUUUUAUGGAUUGAUGUAAAGUCCAUGUUAAAAUUCUUUUUCUAGGCAUGGAAUUGCUAUCAUUUUUAGAUGCCAUGACAGUUGCUAGCACAAAAACCAUGAUACUCUGGUACUUUUUUCGAAAUUAAAAAGAUGAUUUUGGCCAACUUGGUAUUUGGUUGCACAAUGAAAUUUCACCAAAUUCCUUUGUAAAUUUCUGCUGGGAGUAUGAAUUCCUCGUUCUUGAUAUUUCCCUAUCAUCUUGUAACUCUGAAGCUCCUCUUUUGAACAACCAAAGGCCCACUAAAAAUCACAAUUUUUAACUUUUGGAAUCAGAAAAUGGAUAAAAUCAUCAUUUUGAGAUUAACACAUCCAAGCAGAGCCUAAUACUUUUUUUGUUAGUAAUUUGUAUGUUGAGCUUAAGUAUACCUUGCUGCUUGGUUUUUGAUUAUAUUGCUUUUGAUGCUUUAUUAGUCAGAGUUCAGACAAUUGAAUUUGGUGCAUUUGUUGUUCAAAUUACCCUUCUCAUUGCUCUUGAGAAAGCCACCUUGAGUACGGGGACUUAAGGUAUCAUACAAUGUUACUAGAUCAUACACUGUGAUCCUUUAAACCAGAAAACAAUAUAACCAAAUUCUUUCUGCCUGAAGAGAUAAGUUCAUCAAAGGCUCUUUCAAAUGCUCGAGCUAUAGAAAAAAUUAAAAGUACUAGGAUGGAAGAAUAUUCAGAAGAAUGUAUAAAAAGCAUUGUUACAAGAGAGAAAGAAGACAGGAGAAGGUUGGCACAAAUGAUCAUCUAUAAGGCUAUGUGCUCAUCUGCAGGGUGUCACUUCUUGGAAUCUCAGUUAGAAGGCACAAUUGGCCAAAUCACACAUCCCACCCUCUACAACCACCUGCUCCUCUUCUAGUUAAUUUAUAUGUGCCUAGCCACCUAGCAUGCUAAUUAUAAUUUUUAUGAGCUCAAUUUUUGAACCCAAACCUAAAGAAAACUACAAAUUAGCCCAUAAGUUACUUAUGAACAGAAAAUGACUGAGAGAUUGGACUUGCAAUCUCAUCACUCUCCUCAACAUAAGCUUGAGGCAUCCUUAAUAGGGAAAAGAACCAGAUUGUUUUUCUCCUUUUGUGAGGACCCGUGCGGGCAUGUGUUUAGUCCUACAUCGGUUAUUUGCUGGAUAGAUCUCGAAUACUUAAAUAGGAUCAAAGAACCCAAAUAAUACUUUUCGGCUAGUCUUUGUGGGUAAGGUUCUGGAUUGUUACAAAUAGUAUUAGAGUGGACCCAGCCCAUAAUCUAUGUAGACUAGGAGACACUGUAGCACGGAUCCAUUGGGGCUGACCACGGGCCGAUUGUGGUGCUUGUGAUUAGAUUUGAAUGCAUCUAAACCCUUUAGCUUGACGAGGACGUCAAGACUUAAAUGGAGAGAGUAUGCGAGGACCCAUGUGGGCGUAUGUUUAGUUCCACAUCUGUUAUUCGCUGAGUAGAUCUUGAGUACUUAUACAGAAUCAAGGAACCAAAAUUAUAUUUUUGGCUAGUCUUUUUGGGUGAGGUUUUGGGUUGUUAUACCUUUUCCGGCUUCUGUAAUCUUUACAAUAAAAUCAAUUUAUAUUACAAGAAAUGAAAAAGCCUAAUAUAAACUUGUCCUAUAGGCACCCAAAUUCCAGCAAGUAGCUCAUGAUGCUUGAAAUUACUCAGUUCUAAAUUCUAGGUUCUGCUUAUAUUGUACAGUUCCUUGUAUUGUUUUUCAUGGUCAAUAAACAGUAAAAAUAUAGAAGCUGCUAACCAUUAUUUUUAGUCUGGAGCUAAUUGGACUCUAGACAAAGAUGCCAUUUGGUGAUCUACCUUGUUACCUUCAAAAUUUUUGGUAGUUUUCUUUAAUGAAGUAUAGAUUUUGUUUUUUAAGGUGCAGAUUCUCUCUUGCUGGAAGCCAACUUUAUCCUAAAGUAAUUCCUCCAACUGCUCUAGAAUGUGAUCAAUAAAGUUGUUUUGUUAGAUUCAGACAUUUCAUUAAAUUAAAACAAAGUUAGGUAGGAGGGUGCUAUGAUUCCAAACAUAUUUUUUUUGUGAAGUGCAAAAAGAAAUUGUAGAGUCUUAUCUACUUUUUCUUCCUCUAGUUUUUCUCUUUGUUUUUCUUUUGGAAAGAAAAGGCCCAGUUAACCACAUGAAGGCAAUGGACUGCCCCCGGAAAUCAGCCUUCACUCUCUAGCAAUGGACUAACUAGUUCAUAACUAGGUCUUCAUUCCACGCUUUGCUUAUAGUUACUCCAGUCAGCAAAUUGACUGGUCUCCUUGUAACUAUGUGAGACAAUUGUGAGGCAGAAGGUUAUAAGAGGGUGCAUAUCAUGUAUGCUUGCUUGCAUGCACAUGUAUGUAUAUAUGUACACACACACACACAGAAAGAGAGAGAGAGAGAGAGAGAGAGAGAGAGAGAGAGAGAGCAUUGACAAGUCUGGAGCACUUGUUUCAGCUAGAAAACAAGAGAAUUUAGUUGAUUCAAAUUACAGUUUGGACUAAGCUGGCUUUCUAUAAUACACGAGCUGGAUGCUUGUCAGAUCAUAUUCAAUACAUGUUUGUGGACCUAUGAAUGAACUCCAACUGAAAGUGGAUAUAUAAACUAUAAAAAGUUGCAAAAGAUUGAAUCAGGCACUCUGCCAGAUUGCACCAGUCCCUUCAUCUCAACCUAUGUAGCGGACCUGUUAGUUAAACUAGGAGUCUAGGACCGAAAAAGUGAUGUAUGCAUAUCCAAGUAGUGCAGUAUAGUUGCAUGGAUAUCCUUAUGGCAGUUUUUGUGUCUUGACUUUGCGAAACUUUUGAUAUGGUGAACCAGAAAAGAUAUUCGAGGAAGCAGUGUCAUCAUUCUGAACUCAUGUUUUUCUAAAAAAAAUUCCAAACCUGUAAAUAUGCUACACUUUUUCCCUCUAAGUACUCAGAUGCCACUAAUUAAACAGGUCCUACAGGAAAACUGUGCUGUUAUGGUAAGCUAGUAACAAUAUCUGCAAUGUACUAUGGUCAGCAUAUGAAUGUAAAACAUUACAUUGUAUGAAAGUCAUGAUGUCGAUGUGGAUGAAUGGCACAACGAACAAUCUCAAGGUUCAAAGAUGAAUGCUUCAACCAGUAUUAGCAGUGGAUAAAACCAAGAAAUAUGGAAUCAUCCCGAACUGCUUGGUUCGAGGCGUAUGUAGCCAUGCCGGCGGCGAACCAAGAUAGUUCCAGCAUUCAAAGCAAGAAAUCGGUAGGAGGAAGAGAGGGAGGAGGAAAGAGAGGAAAAGGGAGAGAGGGGGAGGAAGAGAGGGGUAGGAAGGGCCAUCGGAGGGACGUAGAGAGCCAGAGUUUCAAAACAGUGUUCGUUGGGGCUUUUUUUUUAUUUUAAAAUUUUGCCGACUUUACUUAAAAUUUUCAAAAUAUAAAAGGAGAUCCGACGGACCUCUUUUUGAACGAAAUAGGGGUCUGGAGGGUGGGCCUUUCCUCCGGCCCUCUAGGUCUCUCCGGCGGCCUCCAAGGCCCUUCUUCUCUCUCCCCCCCCUCUCUGUCUCUUUUCCUCUCUCCCGUUCUCCCUCUCUCUUGAUCUCUCUGUUAUGUUAGUACGGGCUCGGCACGGAAUAGCAUGGGGCGUACCGAACUGUGCCCCGGCCGACCAGUACAGGCUCCGGUACCAGUAUGGCGAAUCUUGGAUAAAACCAAUUGGGAAGGGAAUGAGAUGGUUAGGUCAUUUGCAACAAAGGCCAAAGAUGACUCCUAAAAGGAGAUGUACUUGAAUUCAGAUGGAAGGAUAGAGGGGUAAUUAACUUGUGCUGACCAAGGAUAUGGCCUUUCAUGUGAGGUAGCGGGAGUAAGGGAAGAGACUCUCAUGAAGACAAUUUAAUAAGAAAUGCUUAGAAAGUGGGUGCAGGAAUGAGUUUUGAAGAAGAUUCUGAAACAGAUUUUGCACCCUUUAUGGAAAAUUCUUGUUGCGAAGGGCGGAUCCCUAAAGUCCAAGUAUCCCCUUCUGAAGUAGUGGUACAUGUUGGGGGAAAAACUCCAAGUCAUACGNNNNNNNNNNNNNNNNNNNNCUUGCAGGACUUACACCCCUCCAGGAGGACGUCACCAGUCGGCGCGCCGCCGACCACCGUCCCUGCAGCGAAGCUCCUCCUUCCCCGGCUUCGCGGUAGCCCCCGGGUCCAAUUUCCAGCAACAGUACACAAGGUCAACAUAGAAGAGGAACAAUCAAACUCUUGAGGCAAAGUGGAUAGCUUCACUAUUUCAUUAAAGAAUUCUCUGACAUAAAAGAUUUAGAGACAUGCUUAACAAGUACAGCUUCACAAGACAAGUUUCAUACAGAAAUGGGGCUUCUUUCAAUUUGACAUACUAAUGCUGGUUCAUACACAUGGAGCUUCAGUGGUUAUUAAUGGACAAGCUGUGGAGAUGUCAUGAAGUGUCUAGGAGCAAUGGACCUAGAAUAAUCGAUAGGGUGUUGACAUAGUUGUGCAAGGUGGUGUGGAAUGCAAGGUGCAGUCAUUUGUGAGGUAGAUAGGUAAUGGAGAAUGAUGGCCUACAAAAGAGUCGGAUGGUUGAAGUGGUAUCUAAUGAGCAGGUUCAAGAUUCAAAUGUGGUCUCAUAGGUGAUGGAGAAUGGAGGGAAGUGGACUUAUAUAGACAUCAGUGAGCCAAAAAUGUCCGUAAUGAGAUUAGCCCUAUUACAUAGUAUAUGAAAAUUUAAAUAAAAAUAAACUAAUUAUUAACAUGAGUUGGCCCAAAAAUACAAUUUACAAAAAUUUAGCACAAAUCUGAUAUCCUAAAAAGAAGUCCACAAGAGUGUUUAAAACUCGUGUUAUGUGGUAGUCAAACAUUUGCUUGAGUAUUGCUUAAGAAUUCUAUAUUGCACAGUCCAGUAUUCUGCCAUUUGCUAAUUCUGCAUGCAUGAUUAUAAAUCUCGUUUCUGACCAGUUUGGCCUGAUGUGGAAGAUAGUUCUAAGAUUUAUCCUAUCCAUGGUAAUGCUAUAUUUGCAUGUUCUGCAGUUUUACUGCUUCUCAGAUUUCACCUGCCUUCACUUCCCUUAGUACAUCUGAUUCUUUGUAGAUGCAUGUUGGAAUGACUAAAUUGAUUUACGGAUGCCUUCUUGAGCCAGUGAUAAUGCAAGCAAAAGAGCCCGACGAAGCAGAGCUUUUAAAGUAGUAGACAAGUUCAACUUCCUUAUUUCAGAAAGGAGUUCAAGCUGCAAGUUUCAUUCUUUGAAACUUAUGUUGGUUAUGGUUAUUUGUGGCACAAUCUUAACACUUCUGCACUCUUCAGCAGUGCAUAAUGAGCGUCUCCUGCAGUCUAUUUCUCGGUAUGUCUUCUUUUUCUCGAAUAGACUGUACAUGGUUUAGAUACGUUUAGGAGAUGGCAAAACCGGCACUGGAGGGUGUAUCAGUUUUUCCAAAAAACUGUUAUGGUACCGAGUAAUGGCACCAUGGUACGGGAGCCCAUCCCAUCCCCACACACUGUGUACAGGUGCCAGUUUUGGCUGUUUUUGAAACCUGGACAAGAAUUGUUCAUAUGGUAACAAAAUUUUUGAGAAAACACAUCAUAAACAAACUUUAAUCAAUUUUGGAAGUAUAUACUGUCAUACUAUCAGGAGGGUAAAAAACCUAUGCUUAUGUGCUGAAAUCAACUGUAAAAUGCUAAUUUUGUUUUAAUAAUACAUUUAUGUGGAACUUGCGAAGAAGCAUCUCAUUCCUAAGUGAUGUAUGAUGGGAAUGCAGGCCUGGACUUCUAGAUCUUGGGUGGAUAUGGGACAGAGUGACUUUGGAUUCCAGAUACGUAUCACAUUUGGAUGUCAACUGGUCACAAAUAUCAAAAAUUAUAGAACAAGUGGCUGGCAUGAGAGGAAAUCUCAAAGUCGGCUUACUGAAUUUCAACACUACUGAGGUCAGCUACUGGCAGCAUAUUUUACCAUGGGAAAACACUUCUGUUGUACAUCUAGAUUAUGCCAACAGCAAUCUUACUUGGGAGGUUCUUUACCCUGAAUGGAUUGAUGAGGAAGAAGAAUUUGAAGUGCCUGUUUGUCCAUCUCUUCCUGCACCGGAAGUUCCUCAAGGGUCACAGUUUGACCUUGUUGCAGUCAAGCUUCCUUGUAACAAGUCAGGGAGCUGGUCAAGAGACGUUGCAAGGUUGCAUUUGCAGCUCGCUGCAGCGAAACUUGCUUCGGCUUCUGUGGAAAGCCAGGAUCGGGUUCAUGUUCUUUUGGUAACUGAUUGCUUCCCAAUUCCAAAUCUCUUCACUUGCAAAGACCUUGUCAAACGGGAAGAAAAUGUUUGGCUGUAUAGGCCUAACUUAAAAACACUGAAGGAAAAGCUUCGGCUUCCGGUUGGAUCAUGUGAACUUGCUGUGCCGCUCAAAGCAAAAGGUCAGUUGGAUUAUCUUCUUUUGCCUUCCUGCUCUGCAGAUUCUGUGUGAAAAUGGAAACGAACCGUUGGUUUUCCAUCUUGAAAGAUGAGACCUGGAUUUUGAUCCCUUUAUAUAUGUAUAUAUAUGUCAAAUUCUUGAAUUGUCUCAUUUCAUUGAUCUUUGGAAGUUAUUAGGACUCGAUCAUUAUAUGUCUUUCCCUUCCUAGUCAGGAUGCAAGUUAUAUAUAUGCGUUGAUCUUUUUUUUUUUCUUCUGAUAUCUUUUAACUAUUGCACCGGACAAGGAUUUCAGCGAUCAAAAUUUAAAAUUUUCUGAAUAUAUGAAAAUGACUUCCCAUGUAAUGUUCAUUUGCGCAUGCUUCUUUUUUUUUAUAAUUUUUAUCCUUCUAGAUUUGUAUAUUUUGCUUUCAUGCUGAAUUUACAGUAUGAUUCACUAGCUGCUUGUUGUGCCCACAGAACAGCCAUACUCGAAGACCGGACUCCGAGAAGCCUAUGCCACAGUACUUCACUCUGCAGAUGUAUAUGUAUGUGGUGCAAUAACUGCAGCUCAAAGCAUACGUCUAACAGGAUCCACAAGGGACCUCGUAAUACUAGUUGAUGAAACAAUAAGCAACCAUCACCGAAGUGGCCUUGAAGCUGCAGGGUGGAAGGUCAGAACGAUCCAAAGGAUCCGCAACCCAAAGGCCCAGCGUGAUGCCUACAAUGAAUGGAACUACAGCAAGUUCCGGCUCUGGCAGCUUACAGACUACGACAAGAUUAUAUUCAUUGAUGCUGACAUGAUCAUCCUAAGAAACAUUGAUUUCCUAUUCACGAUGCCAGAAAUAACUGCCACUGAAAACAAUGCAACUCUCUUCAACUCUGGCGUGAUGGUCAUCGAGCCUUCAAAUUGCACGUUCCAGUUGUUAAUGGAACACAUCAAUGAGAUAGAAUCCUAUAAUGGUGGAGACCAGGGUUACUUGAAUGAGAUCUUUACAUGGUGGCACCGUAUGCCGAAGCACCUGAACUUCUUGAAGUACUUUUGGGGGGAUAAGAGCAUGAGAGUUAAAAAGACUCAGUUGAUUGGGGCCGACCCACCGGUUAUCUAUGUUCUUCACUACUUGGGGCUGAAACCAUGGCUAUGCUUCCGUGACUAUGAUUGCAACUGGAAUUAUGUCGGACUUCCGAUGUUUGCAAGUGAUGUAGCGCAUGCAAGGUGGUGGAAAGUGCAUGACAUGAUGCCAGAGAACCUGCAAUCCUUCUGUCUUCUUAGCUCUAUGCGGAAAGCAGUCUUGGAACAGGAUCGGAGGCAGGCUGAGAAGGCAAGCAAUCCUGAUGGACACUGGAAGCGGAAUAUAAGUGAUCCAAGACUAAAAAUCUGCUUUGAGGAGUUCUGCUCUUGGGAGAGCAUUCUAUCUAGUUUAUAAUCUCUACCCUCUCUUCGCUCAUGCUUUCUGUUUUCUUUCUCGCUUUUCACAUUCUUUAGUUUUGUAGAAAAAAUGGUAUUCAUCUGAUCCUUAGAGCUUCACCUAACGACGCCCUUCAUACAUAUCUUUCCCCUUGCUAAGUGUAAAGGUGGCAAUGUUUGGUCUUAUGCGCAUGCCUUGUUUCUGGAGUCAUAGGUUUCAUAUUGUUCCAUUGUUAUCAAUGGCUUGAUUUUUUCCACUUGAUAAUACAUAUGCUUUACUGAUUCUUUCAGCAAUCUUUCUCCAUUGUUUGCAAGUUGUCGUGGCAAGAUUGAUUGUUCAUUGGCUAUAAUCAUAAUUCUGCUGGAGCAAAUAAUUCUAUCUCUAGAGAUGUUAAGUUCUCACAGAAUAUGGGUCAGAUAUUAUCCAAAUGUGACACCGCUUUUGCAUCCGAUUCGGAUUAGAUCAGGAUGGAAAUGUUGAUAUCUGAUUGAACAUGCGUAACAACCCUUAUCUUCGGGAUUGAACCAGGGAUUUUCUACUUGAGUGACAAAGUAUUUAACCAAGUAGUCACUUCUAAUCUUAAAUGGUGGUUUAUUAUUUUCAUUGAAACCUUAUUCAUAUCAUUAAGUAUUUUCAUUUGAUGUAUGUUGCGAUAUUUCAUAUUCUAAUAAUUAGUUCUUUUUAAAAAAAUUGAUCCUUUUCCUUUCAUCAAAAAUGAAAAAUAGAUAUACUUCAUUUCAUAGUUUUGUUAGUAGAAACAUUUAAAAUAUCAAUAACCUACGUAUUUAUGUAUAAUUAUUCUAAUAAACUCUCUUUAAAAUAGAUAAUUCACUAGCAUAUAACCUGUGCAGAUAUGUGGGUACAAUUUGUUUAUAUUUUUUUGAAUUGUUCUCAAAAUCUGAUAGAGCAGUGUGGUAACUUAUAUUUAAACCAUUAUGUAGAUUUAUCAAAAACGUCAUGGUGCCUUUAUGUGAUUGCAAUAACUGUUACUUGAAGUCAUGCAAUAAAAUUCAUAUGUGCAGGCUAGAGUACAACUUAAACUAAAUUUCAAGAUCAAAGAUGUUUCAACUGGUGUGAGUUUGAGAUAAAAUUAAAUUAUAAAUAUAUAAUUAUUAUAUAUAAUAAUAAAUAUAUUUUUGUAAAAUAUUCAAUAUAUAUUUAUUUUAUUAUUUUCUUUUAUUUUCUAUAUUUAUUAAAUAAAUUAUUAGUGCUGGAUAAAUUUAUUUCAACUGUUAUAUAAAUUCCAUUGUAACUGUUAUAAUAGUUAUAUAACAAAUUAAAAACCAUAAUUUUAUUGGCAGCAAUUAUUUGUUUACAUUUUCAAUAACGGCUCUCUUAUCCUACUAUUUAAUUAAUACAUUGCUUUAACCUUAUUAAUAAUUGAAAAGGAUUUAAUUCUCAUUAUUAAUAUUAGUGUCCAUGUGGAGAGUGAUUAAAAAUCAGCAUUUUAUAUCCUACAAUUAUUUGUUUAUAUUUUUAGUAUUAACUAUUUUGUCUCAUUGAUUUAAUUAAUACAUAGCUUUUACCAUAAUUACAGUAUGGAAUGUGAGAAGGUUUUAAAUACUAUCAUUUAUAUAAUUAAUAUCUAUAUAGAGAGGGGAGCUCAGCGCAAGCUAAAACUUUAUUUUAAUUAUAUAAAAAAAUAUUAUUUUUAUUUACACCGCAAUUAAAGAAUAAUAGUGGUAUUUAACAUAGAAAUUUUGUUAAUAUCUUUAUAUUUUAUUUUAUUUUAUUUAAUAAUUUUUAAAUUUAAUAUUUAAUACUAACUUGAUCGGAUCAAUGAUGCAAAUCAUUGACCAGGUCAAUCCCCUUGCGGGUUUAAACCUUUGACUAUUUACUAAUGCAUUGUUGCAAUUUGGGUAGCAGAUUUAUGUCACGCCCCGAACCAACAUCCGAGUCCGGCAUACGACACGACUGCACACUCUCUAGAAUAGAGCCCUAAAGAAUAUGCAAGGCCUAAAAAUAUAAUACAAUCUCAAUACCAUAAUCAAUAAUGAUCUCAAUCCAUAUCAGACAACAAAGUUGAUUUAAUUACAGAAUUUGAUCAUCUAACCAAAAUCCGUAAUGCUCUAUCUAAUCAUUCCCUCCAUCUGCGAUCUCAACCAUAGCUAUAUACUAUAGCACCUGCAACUCUAAAAAAGAGAAAGGGGAAGGGAUUGUGAGCUUUACAACCCAGUAAGAAUUCUCAUACAUCCGCACCAACUCAAUAAUAAUAUAAAUUUGAAAACCGCAAAAAGUCGUUGCACACAUCAUGAAAUCACAAAUCGAUUAUCAAUAACACUCGAAUAAUCAAUAUAAUAUAUAUAUAUAUAUAAUAUCAAAAGAAAUUCAACCACUCAAGAGUACUAUAGCAUAUGAUAUCUCAUAAAGCUUCAUUAAUGCUUUCAAUGCUUUUUUUUUAACUUGAUUCGAAUUAAUUAUCUUAUCGACUUUAGGCCUGCCAAAGUAACAUAUUUCCAGCCUGUGACAGGGCCUGCCAAUUAUAGUAUCACAUUUUCAGCCUGUGAUGGGGCCUGCAAAGUAUCACAUUUCUAGCCAGUGACUAGACUUGCCAUAAUAACGAGAUAAGCCCAAAGUUCUUGUUUAUUCAAUUCAAUUUACAUCCACACAUCAAUUCCUUUUUUAUCUAUUUUCGACUUUAGACUAACCACAGUCAUGUUUCUAAUCUAUGAUGGGGCAACCAAUAAUAACAUGGUUAGUCCAGAGCACUAGAUCCAUUAGUCCGAUUGUGCAAGUGUAAGUUAUACUCAUAUACCCAUCAUACUAUUCAUCACAAGCAAACAUGAUCAAAAUAUGAUUUAAUACCAAAACCAUCAUAAAACUAUUCUUGCUUUUUACUUAUCUGAAUCAUAGCAUAUCAUAUAUAUAUAUAUAUGUACAAAAAUAUUUAUAUCAUGUAGAUCAGUGUACAAGAAUUCUUACCUGUUUUCUAACAACUAGACAGACUAUCAUGAUCUACGAACCAGGAGCGCAGAACCCUACUCAAUAUCUUCUUGUCCAAAAGAUUGUUCUCCUACAGAACUAAAUCAACAUAAAAAAUUAUCCGAGAUAUCUGACUGCCCAGAACUCUCUACUGGUCCACUAAAGGUCCACCAUCACGUAGUAAUCUAAGACUAUCCAGCAGCCCUCACAACUAAUGAUCUCUCCGGAUCAAGUUAGAGAGAUAAAGUACCAACAGAAAGAGAGAGAAACUAGAGUAUAAGAUCUCGUUGGGCUUCUUCUUGCCCGAAUGACUAUAGCCUCAUACAAAUCAGUGCUAGACUAUGAAAAUAUAUUCAUAUAUGAUGACAUAUGAGGCUAACUAGAUAACAAUGCCCAUUUAUUCGAAUCGGUUAAGGGUUAUCAAUUAUGGGUCUAAUGGUGGCUGACAACAGUUGGAUGCAAGACGGACAGGGUUGACUAGGUAGCAGCGUCCGACGAUCUGGGUCGGUCCGCUUUGGUCAAUCAGGUCAGACAACUCAUGAAAUAAGAAUUAGUCUAUGAUACUGAUAACAAAAUAGAGAUUCAUGAUGAUAGAGUCCAGCAAUACUCAACAAUAGUCAGGGUAAGGCUGGUGUGACAAAUAGUCGCAACGACACUAGACCAAAAGCCUCUGACUGGUUAACUCGGGUCUACAAUGAGAACAUUAUGACUUUUUUGCUGGAUCUAUAGAACUACGUGAAGAGAGAGAAACAAUCCAGAUAGAGAGAUGAAGUUCAAUAGAGAGAAAGCAUAGCAGAGAGAAACAGGUCAGGAGAGUGGAGAGAGGGGAGAGAGAAAGAGGCCUUCUUCCUCUUCUCGAAAUAGGGGGGGCUCUCUUUCUCAAACCGAGCCAUGGAAGAGCCGGUGGACAGCGGCCUACAACAGUCUCCGGUGACGGCAACGACGACGACUCGGAGCCGCAAGCCAUCACCUGUGGUGACCGGCGAACCAAGGGAGAAGAAGAGAGGAAGCAAACGAAGAGCAAGGGAUGUCAAUCUUGGCCUGGGUCAUGCCCGAUUCUACCCAUCAACAGCCACAUGUUCAGCGUUCCUAGACGGCUGAAAAUCCCGGCGGCCGGCGGCGGCGAAACCCAAAGGAAAGGAGAGUGGAGACAGGGCAAACAGGGGAUCUCUUUUUCGGUCGAUUUCCGGCCGAUUCCUCGGCCAGCGGUCGUGAUUCCGGCUUGAGGGAAGAAGGCCAAGGAAGGGGGAAGAAGGCUAGGGUGAUACCUCGGCCCCAGCGGCGUUCGGUGGUCUCGACUUCUGCCAAACACAAUAAUGGCAACCGCGAGCUCGACGGGAAGAAGAAGAAGAACGAGAGAGAAAGAAGGGAUAUCGCUCUGGUAGAGGCUUUGGAGGGAGAGAGAGGACUCACGAAGCCUCUAAAUAGAGGCGGCUGCGAUCGGAAUCCGACUCGAAGUCGGUUUUCCUCCGGCGAGCGGGAGGAGGAAGACUCCCAUCGGGAGUCCUCUUCCUCUCUAGGCACGUGCCAAUUUUUUUCCGCUUUUUUUUUUUUGUUUCAGCCCAAAUUUAAUUGGGCCCCGGUCAAAUGGAGCAGGCCCACUUUGCCUAAAGGUCGGAGUCUUACAAUUAUUUCCAUCUUUUAUGGUAAUAUUAUUUAUGUUAGUCUUUAUUAUUGAAUUCUAUUCAAAAUCUAAUUUAUAUUAAAAUAAUAUUUUACUUAGGUCCAUAUUGGAAUAAAAAAAUGAAUAUAAUUAAUAUAAAACUUGUAUCCUUAUCCGUAUUUAUAUCUGCUAAAAAUAUGGAUACAAAUAUGAAUAUUUCAAUACCUGGUCUGAUUUGUUUUUAGCCGUACUAAGAUCAGAUAUAAGCUAUGCAUGUCAGGAACUUUCUAUUAAGUUUCUGAUUUUACAGUGUUACUUCUCAGUUGCUUUCUACUACCGGGAAGCUAACCGUUCCAGAUGUGUUUCAUACCAGAAAGUUGCAUCAUGCAAGUGUUUAGAACUUGGUGUUUAUCUGACAUAUCUUCAUAGCAUUUUUGUAAAUUACAAAUUGAUGAGAAUGCUAAGGAUGUACAAAUAAAGCCAAAUCCAAUGGGAAAAAUAUCAUAUGUUAAAGAUUUCACGUUCAGAGCAUCUUCAGAGUAGGCGUAAAAGGAGAAGAUGGUUGCAGCUUGAUCAUCAGGUUAAUCAAGGUUAAUCACGGGGCAGAUAAAUAAAAUGCAAUAACUGUAAACAGAAGUAGAUCUCAUUUAUCUCUGAAUAGAAUUUACUGAUAGGAUUAUCCUAUGGGUUUAACAUUUUGGAGUCAUUAUCAAAGUAAUGCAACGAGUUGAUAUCUAGUUCAGAGCUUGGGUCUUUGACUGUUCUAUUGGUGAGAGGACCAGGAUGUCGCUUAAUGUGGUAGGUAUGUCAAAACUAAGUAUCCCUCUCACUAUUGCAGAGACUCUCUUGGUAAAAUGGCCAUUCCAUCUUUAUAUGUUUUAAAGUACACCAUUCUUGAUGCUUUUAAAUGAUGAUGUUAAUCAAAGAAGGAAAUGUGGAGUUUUUCACAGGUAGGGAGGGACAAUAGGGAACAGAAGUUGUUUUCUUACGUACUGUUAAUUGAAAUAGAGUUUUUCUACUCAAUAAGCCAAUUACAACUUACAAAAAUUCAAUUUUCCAAUUCAUUUGGAUACUUUUAGCUUAUCUUCUUUUGCUAUAAUUUCUUGGUUUCUAUUGGAGUUUUUGGUGGAAUUUGUGGUGCCUUCUUCCAAGCCUGGAGAGGAACAUUUCAGUCCUUGGCCGCUAGAGCACGGCUGUACUACAAGUAAAUCCAUUCAAGUAAUUCACACAAAUGGCAUGGAGAUCCCACAUGGAGGAACUUUGGCCUCCAGAUGUUACGCAUUAUGGUAUCAUUUUGAGUAGCUCCCUGAACACCUUAGAUAUAUUUCUAGUAUAUAAUUCGAGAGCAUGCUUCUCAAUUGGCACUUGACCAUAAAGUUGGUUGUGAAUGCAUUUUGUGGAAGUUUUCCUCAUCCUCUCAGUCAUAUCAGCUUUCUAUGACUACCUCAUAUUAAGUUACAAACUUGAAAGCAUUCAUAUGAUUGUCAACAAAAUUUUUGAACAACGGACGAAUACUUCUACUGCAUUUUGUUAUAGACAUGGAAGUGAAGAAUAUAUGCCUAAAAUAUGCAGAUACCAUUUGUCUCAUAUACUAAAUAUGUACUAAAGGUAAGUGUUGGACUCCAAGUAGCGCUUUUUGAUAGAAUGCUCAUACUUCUCUAGAGAAAUGGAAGUAUUGAUGCAGUGGUGAAGAUCAUCCUUUAGUUCAUCCUUUGUAUUAAAUAGAAUAGUUCCUUGAUAUUCUUUAUGACAUUCCACUUACAAAAUCGGUGGAUGAUAUUAGGGAAUGUUUGCUCAAUUACCUUUUUCAUGGACAGGUCUUGAUUGGUUAAGAUGCAUUUUGCGUGCUUGCCAAACAUUGCCUCUAAAAAAGUUUGGAAGAUCUAAACCGAUGAUUCUAUCCUCUCAUCUCGUACUAGUGCACAACGAAAUAAAAUGAAUUGCAAGUGAUAGUUAACACCAACAAAUAAUGCAAAGGCAUUCUAUAUUUGUUGGACAUGUACGUGGUAUCGAAAGUGACCAUAUACGGAAGUAUUGAUAAGCCAUUCUGGACCUCCUAUUAAUUCAAAAAAUAUUUGACGCACUAUUGUUGGCAUCUAAUUGGAUGGCAUAAAAAGGUUAGAUUCUUGGCUUGUAAACAUCGAAAAAGAUGCACUCUUGUCUGAACGUCAAUAUUGAAUAAUUGUUUUUGAAGGUUGAAUCUAAAGUUGCUUAGAUCCUUCCUAGUGAAUAUACCUCCAUGCAGUUGUGAUAUAGCAUCUAUAACUUGUCGUGUAGAAAUAUUUUGCUCAUGUAAAGUUUCUAUGAAUUUUUUGUCUUCUGCGGUAAUUUUUUUUGUGUGAUUGGAGGAAGCAAGUUUUAGAUAGGCUAUAAAUGAACUCAUAACUAUGAAUAUCAAUAAAUAUUAUGUUCUUUCAUAAAAGCCGGCUCAAUCUUUAGGCGACUGAGACGGUCGUUAAGGCCCCGGCCCAAAGCAGACCCAUCGCAGUCCAGGAAGGCCCCAAAGAAAAUAGAAAGAAAAAAUAUCCUUCUUAGUGAGUUAGCCUUUGGCUUCCAAAUGCAUUGGGCCGCUCUUAUCUCUCAUUUGCCAACCUCAUUUUUUUCUAAUAUGCAUUUUUGCUUUGUAUCCAAUAUGGAUGCUCUAGGUAUCCUUGCAUGGAGUUGUAAGUUCUGCAUGGCCUUCUCCAUCAAAUACUCGAUCCUAGGCUUACAUGUCCCUUCUUUGCAACAUGUGCAUUCUUGCCUAGUGAUUACCGCGGCUAAAAGGGUAUAUGGUGGAAAGUGUAUGUGCCGAGAUUUGUGCAGAUGGGACGGUCCCGGAGGUGACCGAAUUUGCCACCGGAUGCGGUUGAAUGGAACGUGGACUCUCUCCCCUCUCUAUAUAAUAUUUACGUACAUGCAUGGCACUAAAACAUGCAGAAAAAUGGCGAGCCCAGCAUAUUUGUUAGUCUUUUGUCGACAAUAUAAAGACGAUUCACCAUGCAUCAAUUCGAAGUUAUCGCCUGCUAACUUCUCCUACUGUUUGAUUGGAGCACACCCACUCAUUCCCCUGGAUAAAAUUGUCCAGCGAGUAGGUACAUAAAUGCUCCGCCGGUAUCUGGCUGCUCCACGGCACCCUCGCCGACAUGUUCGCCCCAGGCCCCGAGCUCCCGAACUCGCCGUAGAACAGCGUGUUGAGCGCGAAGUCACCGUCCCACGGCAGCCACCCUUCCGCCCUUACAAUGGCCUCCAUGUAGGUCUCGACGAACACGGUCCUCGAGUACUCCUUCCACGGCCGCCCGAGGUAGGCCCGGUGGACGGCGGGAUUCCGGCGGUACAGCGCGACGUACUCGUCGCUGCCGUUGACGACGCAGCGGCGGAAGACGAAGCCGGUGGAUUGGACGGGGUCGGUGCGGCCGUGGGCGGAGAGAGUGCUGGACUCGCCGUGCUCUGGGUUGAGCUGGCGGGGGAGGAAGAGGAGGAGGCAGCUCUCGAAGACGGCGGCGGAGUUGCCGAAGACGAAGUCGACUGUGCCGGAGAUGCGGCAGUUGCGGUAGAGCUGGCGGAGGGAGUGGGCGUAGAGGGUGUCCUGGUGGCCGAGGAGUUCGACGGUGUCGAGGAUGGAGAGGUCGCUGUCGGAGCGGAAGGCCACGGCCUGGUGGGCGUCCGGGCCCGCGGUGUUGGCGAUGGUCAGGUUCCGGGCUCGGAAUCCGUCGCCACUGACACCUGCGCCGGGCAGCAAAAAAUAUAUGUAAUGUGGUUUGGUUAUACGGAAACUCCCUUCGGAGCACGUAUUGCUAAGUAUUGAAACCGAAUCUAGCACUAAUAUAUAUAGAGUUACAUUAAUAAUUUAGGGGAACUUGCUUAGUGGUCCAUUUAUUGACCGAACUUUAACAUUAAAUCCCUGUUGACCGGUUGUUUAAUAUAUAUUUCAACAUUGCUUUAUGGGAUGAAAAUGCCCCCGCCUCUCCCAUUCUCACCGAAGAAGGAGAAGAAAAAGGCAGCCACCGGCCACGACCCGCCUCCUCUCGAGCCCCCUCCCACGCCUGCCGCCGGCCACGGCAUGCCCCCUCCUGCGCCCGCUGUCCCCUUCCGUGCCGCCGGGAAUGCCUCCGCCCCCACGGUGGGGAGGUGCCGAAGAAGAGGAGCCGCUGGCCAGUCGCAGGCGCCGCCGGCUGCGACUCGGCCCCCCUCCGGUGGCCCCCUCUUGCGGCCACCACCGUCCAGCCCCCUUCCUUAGCUGCCGGCCUCGCGAGAGGAGAAGGAAGAAGAAAGAAGGAGAAGGGAAGAAGAGAAGAAAAAAGAAAAGAAAAAAGAAAAGGAAAGAAAAAUGAGAAAAUAGAAUAAAAUAAAAAUAAAAAUAAAAAUAAAGUUAACUGUGUUCCUAGACAAGUCAACUGUGUUCACAGAUAAGUUAACUGUGUUCACAGACAACUUAAUUGUGUUCACAGAUCUGGGGUCGACCCCUGCUCACCUGGAGUCGACCCCUUAACAGCACGAGUCGACCCCUGUUCACCUGGAGUCGACUCUCUCAGGCUUUCCUAGACAAGUUAACUGUGUUUCUAGACAAGUUAACUGUUUCUGGACAACUGUGUUCCUAGACAAGUUAACUGUGUUCACAGACAACUUAACUGUAUUCCUAGACAAAUGUUCCUAGACAACUUAACUGUGUUCCUAGACAAGUUAACUGUGUUCCCAAACAACUUAACUGUGUUCCUAGACAACUGUGUUUCUGACAAGUUAACUGUGUUCACAGACAACUUAACUGUGUUCCUAGAUAACUGUAUUCCUAGACAAGUACUUAACUGUGUUCCGAGACAAGUUAACUAUGUUCUUAAACAAGUUAACUGUGUUUCCAAACAACUUAACUGUGUUCCUAGACAAGUUAAUUGUUUUCACAGACAACUUAACUGUGUUUCUAGAUAAGUUAACCGUGUUCAUAGACAAGUUAACUGUGUUUCUAGACAACUGUAUUCCUAGACAACUUAACUGUAUUCCUAGACAACUUAAUUGUGUUCACAGAUAACUUAACUGUGCUCCUAGACAACUAUGUUCCUAGACAAGUUAACUUUAUUCCUAGACGAGUUAACUGUGUUCCUAGACGAGUUAACUAUGCUGUGUUCCUAGACAACUGUGUUCCUAGAUAAGUUAACUGUGUUCCCAAACAACUUAACUAUGUUCCUAGACAACUGUGUUCCUAGACAACUUAACUGUGUUCACAGACAACUUAACUGUAUUUACAGAUAAGUUAACUGUGUUCACAGACAACUUAACUGUAUUCACAGACAAGUUACCUAUGUUCACAGAUAAGUUAACUGUGCUCACAGACCUGGGGUCGACCCCUGCUCACUUGGAGUUGACCCCUUAACAGCACGAGUCGACCUCUGCUCACCUGGAGUCGACUCUCUUAGGCUUUCCAGAGAGCUAUUUUUCUGCCUGAUUUCAGGGGUCGACUCCAGCUCUUCAGGGGUCGACCCCAGCUCUUCAAGGGUAGACCCCAGCUCAGCAUGAGUCUACAACAAUUUUCUAAUAACACAUAACUGUGUGCAUAGUUCUAUUUACUGUGUUCGCAGACAAAAUAAUUAUGUUCCGAAAUAAAUAACUGUGUGCACAGUCGAAAUAACUGUGUUCCCGGGUAGAAUAAGUGUGUUCCGGGAUGAUUUAACUGUGUUCCAAGCUUAUUUAACUGUGUUCCAAACUUAUUUAACUGUGUUCCAAGCUUAUUUAACUUUAUUUUUAUUUUUUCCUUUUUUUCUUUU
rnacentral:lncRNA from 1 species